ACUUUGUGUUUGUAGUAACAAAGCUUAAACUACUUUAAGUAUUUUAACUCUGCCAACAAAUUCACACAGUAUAAAGUAUCAAACAGAACAUUAAAAUACUUCUAACAAAUGACAAUAUCAAAGUCUCAAACUUACACAAUAUCAUAGUCUCAAACAUAUGAAAUUCAAAAACCACACAAGAUAAAAGUCUCAAACAUAAAAAGUCUCAAAGUUUAAAGCAUUUUCUAUUCCUCAUAGAUAAACUCGAAUUCAUCACCAAUUUCUUGAAAGACACAUAACCAAUUCUUUGCACAUAUCAAAGGUUGAACAAUUGUAGGUAAGAGACAUCUCCGAUAUUUUUUUGAGAACACAGCUGCCUACACUAAAAGAUGAUUCUGACGCCACUGUUGUAAUAUGGAUAUUAAGAACAUCAUAAGCUAUUGAUGCCAAAUAUUUAAUGCGACUUGAAUUGUCUUUCUAAUAUGCCACCACAUUUAAACUUCUAAAGGUAACCAUAUCAAUUACUGGCUCAUCCAUAUAUGUGUUAAAUCGUGAUUUUCCACUACCACCUCUGUUUUGAGAAAAGUAAUAAUAAAACCUAUGAAAAACGACACUACUGAUCAAAUUAAGAAUUAUGUAAGUCUGCAAUCUCACAAGUCUGAAACAAACAAAAGUUACUCUUCUACAAGUUCACUAAUCUGAAACAAUCAAAUGUCUAUAAAACGUGCAAGUUUACAAGUCUGAAACAAACAUGUUCAAGUCUACAAGUUCACAAGUCUACAAGUACACAAGUCUGAAACAAACAAAUUCAAGUUUACAAAUUCACAAGUCUACAAGUUCAAGUGUAAGUCUACAAGUUCACAAGCUUAAAUAAAAGUACAAAAAUAUAAGUUGGAAUAAAACUAGACAAAAUAGUACAUACUUACAUCAUAUCCUGAAGGGAUGUUGCUUUUAGAAAUAUGUGAAGUAUACUCUAUUGAUGCUUGUGUCUCUCUUAUAUGCUCCGAAAAGCUUAAACAUCUUGCCACACACAUAAUCUAAGUAGUUUGGUAGUGACUGGAUCUGUAAUAUUGUAACAAUUCUCUAGAAAAGUAAACUUCGGUCUAUGAUCAAGUAUUGUUAGUAUGUCAUUGAACUCUUCCCAGUAUUUGUCGAUUUUCUCUUUCAUAUCCUUCACCAUUUCACAAAUAACGUGAUCUUCUGAAUCUUCAUGACUUCUCACCCAACACUUAAUCGACCACACUUGCAUAAAGUACAAGUUAGUUGUGGGGUAUGAUGAACCAGAGAUGAGCUUUGUGACUUCAGCAAAUGAUUUCAAUAGCUAGUAGAUCAAUUCUGAUCUUUCUCACUCCAAUCCAAAUGGAAAGCUUUUGUAACUUCUACCAUUUCCUUCAAACUAGUGUUUGAAUCCUUCCUAAGGGGUCCAAGUCAGCAUCCACCUAGGAAAGUCGCCUCCUGUCCAUGCGACACGUGUCCGGUGGAUGAAACUCACCGUUUCAUUUAAACGGUUUGAUGGGCUUCAGCCCAACAGGGCCAUCUCUGCUGCAAGACUUCAUCGUCUCCGCGACCUCGAUUUCUCAGCAAGGCAUCUCGCGACUCCUCAUGUCAUCUCUGUGGCGGCUCCGCAAUUGCCUCCCUCCGUUGCCGUGACCAAGCUUCCUUCGCGACUAAGCCACGUUAUCUCCUAGCUCCCAAAGUCGUCGAUCUCACUUCCAAUUGCAGAAGAUCUCAAGCCGCGGCAGCCAAUCUCACUUCUAUUUUCGUCUGAAGGGUUGAUGGUUGACCGUCUCCGACUCUUCACUUCGUCGUCACCAUUUCGACUCUUUGUAAUUCGUCGUUACCGCGACCCACUUAGAUUAAUCAAUUAUCUUCUUUACUCCUUUCGUCUCUUUUUAUAUCAUAACUAGGUGUUUUGUCCGCGAUGCGGGCUUUAAACAUUUUCAUAAAUUUUUGAAAAGUUUUUUGUACACUAUAUUCAUUACUAAAAUAAAUCUUAAAAUAACUCAAUAUUGUAUUUUUAAUUAUAUAAUUUUUAAAAAAUAUUUGAUUAAUAUUUAAUUAUAUAAUUUAUGUUUUUAAUGUUUUACUAAAAUACUUUUUCAGAUAACAAUACAAUAUAUAUAGAAAUUAUUUUUUAAUUAUAUUUUAAGAUUUUGGAUAAUUCAAUAUUCUAUUUUUAAUUAUAUAAUUAUGAAUUUUAUUUAAUUAAUAUUUAGUUAUAUAAUUUAUGUUUUUAACUUUUUACUUAAAGGCUUUUUCAGAUAACAAUACAAUAUAUACAAAAGUUAUUUAUUUUUUAAAUUAUAUUUUCAGAUUUUGGAUAAUUCUUACUAUUCUUAAUAUUAAUUAAUUAUCUAAUUAAAAUCAAUUAAAAUUUCAUUUUGAUUUUUUAAUUUAUUUAUACAUUUUAUUCAUUAAGAGUAUAAACGAUAUUAACCACUCUAACUUUCAACAUGAGAGCUCCAUUGCGAAAAUUUACUUCGCAAAUAAUAGUAUAGAUUAUGCUUUAUGGUUUGAAUCCGGUGGUUUAUUAUUUUUAUUUUUGUUUGUAAUUGUUUUCAGCCACCACUCAUUCCAGCCAGAAACAUCUGGAUACUCUGUUCACGUAGCUAUGUUCACAAGAAGUUGCUUAGCAGAGGAUGAUAGUCUGAUCACGCAGCUAUUCGUAAAAACGGUAUCUAUCUCUUCUUGGCCGAGUACAAAUAAUAUUUUUUUGGUUGUUUCAUUCAAUUGUUUUUGUCUGGUAAUUAGGAGAUAGUGAAUUGAGGAGACAAUCAGAGCGAUGAAAUAAAAUAAUUUGAGCAAGUAAGUGUAAAACUGGAAAGCCUAUUAUCCUAAGCACUUUGCUAUUGACAAAAUCUGUUAUAUAUAUAUAAUGAUUAGAAGGAUGCCGAGAAACAGCUGUGAAAUCGUUGCAGAGUGGACGACCAUAAUGCAUGAAGCUAUAUAACUUAAAGGAAACAGAAAAAUGUUUCACAUUUUUUUUUAGGAUAAAUGGUCAUCCGUUUGAUGCAGAAAUGUUCUACUUGAGGCAUGUAUGCACAAAGUGACAGAAGAGUCAGAAAAACGUGGAGCAGUUUGGUCUGAAAAGUGGCCAGAGUAGAGAUUGUUCAUCAGUGGUUUGAAGACACAUAUGGAAAUCAGCACAAGAGGAUUUCACAGCAGACAUGAUUGUUGAAAAAUUAUUGUUUCAGUCAUACUUCAAGGGUGUAGGAAUUGAUUGGUGGUAUGUGAGAAACAUUAUGGAUUGAGAGCUGUAUAUGGAGGGUAAGCACUGAAAAAAAAAUCUUUCACCAAUACAAAAUUGGCUCCAUGUAUCUGUUACGAAAUGAUAUAUCUCUGUUUCUGGCUUUCAGUUUUAUUGCUGCAUUGAAGGAUCUGAGACAGUGAGACUCUGUGUGAUUAAUGUACUUUCCUCAAACUUACGACCUUCAUGAUGAUUCAUCAAUUCUCUGCACUGAAGAAGAGGUAUGUAUAUAUACAGCACUCUCACAUAUAUGCUUCUCUAUUGCCUUUUUUAUAUUUAUGAAUGCAAAAUCUGAUGUGUAAACAAAACCUUUAGGUGCAGCUUUGUUGACCUAACUUAAGCUUAAAGUUAUCUUGUUGUUAUCCUAAUGAGUUUAGGAUUUGAAUAUCUUGAGUUGUAGUUAUCUAGUUAAGUUUAUCCUAAUGAGUUUAGGAAACUAUGAGUUAGUAUAUAAGAAGCUAUCAUGAUGUGAUAGAGCUUAACGUGUGAUUGAGAGCUUUUAGUUUUUGAGACUUUCUAAAGGCAAUAAAAGAGUUCUUGAGUUUGAGAUUAUUAACUGUGAUUGUUGAGCUACGAUCAUAUCUUUGGUUUCAAUAAUUGGUAUCAGAGCCUUAAUAUUGAAAUCAAAGACGUUUGAGGAGAGAAGAUAAGCAUGGCGGAUUUGUCGAUAACCACUUUCAAACCUAAAGAGAAUGGUUCCUCAGCAAUCAAGUGUCCAAUGCUCAUCACCACUAACUACACAGUUUGGAGUAUGCGCAUGAACGUUUUGCUCAAGGUGCAUAAGGUUUGGGAAGCAAUCGAUCCAGGUAGUGAUGAUGGAGACAAAAGUGAUAUGGCUCGAGCAUUCCUAUUUCAAUCAAUCCCUGAGAGUUUGGUUCUUCAAGUUGGUACUCUAGCAACUGCAAAGGAAGUUUGGGAUGCGAUUAAAGCUAGGAAUGUAGGAGCUGAUAGGGUUCGAGAGGCGUGGUUACAAACGCUUAUGGAUGAGUUCAAUAGGAUGAAGAUGAAAGAUACAGAAACCAUAGAUCACUACAAGAAAACAUCGGGAUACUGAGGGAAAAAAUCGUCGAUAUGUCGUCGGAAUAACGAUAUUCCGAGGACAUACCGACGAAAAAAGUCCUCGGAAACAACUCCUCGGAAAUUCAUAAUUCCUCGGAAUUCCGUCGGAAAAUUCCGACGGAAUUCCGAGGAAACAAAAUUCCGAGGAAACUCCGAGGACACGAAGUUCGUCGGAAGGUUCCUCGGAAAAUACCGAGGGAAUUCCGAUGGUCCAAUCCUCGGAAGUUUCGACGAAAUAUUCCUCGGAAUGUUUAUCGGAAAAUACCGAGGAACAAAUGUUCCUCGGACUUUUCCGAGGAACUUUCUUCCCUCGGAAAAUUCCGAGGGAGUGGAGUUUCUCGGAAAAUUCCGAGGAACUUNNNNNNNNNNNNNNNNNNNNNNNNNNNNNNNNNNNNNNNNNNNNNNNNNNNNNNNNNNNNNNNNNNNUUCGUUGAUUCGAACCCGAGACAAGUUGGUCGAGGCCGUCGAAUCGUCAUCAUCGGUUUGAAGCUGAGACACUUCGUCAUACACCUGAGUUUGGACCAGGUCGACCACGUCCCUCACAAGACCAUCAUCAAUCUGGCCGGUCUUCUUGUUGGUAUACGCCCUUUUCAUAAGGGCGAGAUCAUCAACUGGGUGGCCUUCAUUUUCUUCCGCCUUGAAAAAAAAUAAAUUAGACAAACAUUAGAAAUUUGAAAAUGCAAAAAAAAUAAAAUUCUGAAACUUAAAUAAUUGAAGAAAAAACGGUUGAGCUUACCAUGCGAUCCGCCAGAGUGGCAAUAGAUUGAGCACCCAAGUUAUGCUUGUAGAUGCCCUUUCCUUUACGGUCGCUCAUGCGGUUGUUGGAGUUGGUGGAAGAAGUUUCUUUCGUCUCUUCUUUAUCCCAAUGCGCACACAACUCCUUCCAGACCGUGUCGUUCAUCGACUUUUGGACCUUUUAAUUUUUUUAAAAAAAAGUUUAAUAAUUUUAAAAAUAGUUUAAUAAAUUAAAAAUUGUUAAUAAAUUAAAAACUACCUUGUUUACUUCCCACUUCUUCUUCCACUCGUACAUCUGCUUCCCAUAGUUGUCCAUAACUUUAUGGACAAAAUGGUGAUAGAUAGAAAGCGUAUCAUCGGCAUUCCAGUUGAAUUCUUGCUGAAAAAAAAAAUAGAUAAAGAGCGUCUCAUCGGCAUUCCAGUUGAAUUCUUGCUGAAAUAGUUUAAAAAUAGUUUUUAAGCACAAAAAUAUAAUAGUUUAAUAAUUACAAAAAUCAUCGUUUUAAUAAAUAAAAAAUAGUUUAAUAAUUAAAAAUAAUUUAAUAAUUACAAAAAUAAGUUUUAAUAAUAUUUAAAAUGUCUAAUAAAUAUAGAAAUUAGUUUAAUAAUUACAAAAAUAAGUUUUAAUAAUAUUUAAAAUGUCUAAUAAAUAUAGAAAAUAGUUUAAUAAUUACAAAAAAUAGUUUUAAUAAUAUAAAAAAUAUAAUUUAAAAAUUAGAAUACUUACCGCAAACUGCUGAAACCACAGAUGCUGCUUCUCGACAGGGAAGUGAGUGAAAGUCGGAUGUCCGCUGUCGAGGGCCGAGUACAUCAUACGGUUGGUCCAUGCGCUGAUCCCGUUCCCGGAUCGGUUGAACCUAAUAAAAAAAUAAAUUAUUAAUAAAAAAAUAGUUUAAAUAAAAAAUAGUUUAAAAAAUAAAAGUUUAAAUUACCAUGUUUGACCAUGUCCAUGUGGAUACUCAGUGAGAUAGGGAAGAUGGUCACGACCGGGCUGUCGAACCAACUCCGCAACCCUCAUCACUCCCAGAGGACCCGGAGGAAUGGUCACGACCGGGCUGUCGAACCAACUCACCAACCCUCAUCACUCCCAGAGGACCGGGUGCAGCAGCGGGACCAGGAGCGGGUGCAGCAGCGGGAGCGGGAGCAGCAGGAGCGAGUAAUGGAGAGGGAGAUGUAUGGUAUGAGCUGUGGGGCGAAACGGAAUCCUGAACAUGGCUGGAAGAACCGCGAGACUGGCUCCCCAUACCACCCCGGCUACGACGCUGGCGAGGCCGGAUCUGAUCAUCAUUAGACCUGUAAAUUAAAAAAAAAACAUAUUUAAAAAUUAGUUCUAAUAAUUUUAAUUAAAAAAAACAGUUUAAAUAAAAAAUAGUUAAAAAACAUAGUUUUUAAUCACAAAAAUAUAAAUAGUUUAAUAAUUAAUAAAAAAAGUUUUAAUAAAUAAAAAAUAGUUUAAAAAUUUUAAAAAUAGUUUAAAUAAAUCCCAAAAACAUAAUAAUUACGAAAAAUAGUUUUAAAAAUGUUUAAAAUGUUAAAUAAUUACAAAAAUAGUUUUCAUAAUAUUAAAAAUGUUUAAUAAAUAUAGAAAUUUAUAUUUUACAUAUAAAAUACAAAAAAAUGUUUUUAAAUAUUAUAUAAAUGAUUUUUAAUCUUAAAAAAGUUUUAUAGAUUUUAAAAAUGUUUAAUAAAUAUAUAAAUGAAUUUAAAAUGCAAAAAAUAGAUUUUAUAUACAAAAAACGUUUUCAAUAUAUAUAUAUAAUUUCAAAUUCGAUUUUUAUAACCACAAAAUUAAUAAAAACUAAAAAAAAAAUUCAAAUCAAGUGAAAUACAUAAUCAAACUCGAUUUUACACAAAUCUACCAUUCACCCUAACAAAAUCUAUAAAUCUCAUUCCAAAAUCAUCAAAUCUACUUAAAAACCAUACAAAUCUAACCUAAAAGAGUGGGAUAGGGUUCUUACAUGAUUUUGGGGGAGGAUUAGGGGAGAUUCGCCGGAAAAACGCGAGAGAGAACGGUGGAGUCGCCGGAAAUCGCGAGAGGAGAGGCUCAGCGGCGCGGAGAGAAAGAGAGAAAUGGGGAAGAAGAUCGGGCUCGCCCUAAUAUUAUGAGGCGUCCGACGGAAACUAUCCGUCGGAAUUUCCUCGGAAAUAUUUUAUAUUUCCGUCGGAAUUUCCUCGGAAUUCUUUGAUUCAAUUUUCCCGAAAUAUUUGGCGGCUUGGUUUACCCGGUUAAAUGAAAAUAUUCCGACGAACCAUGAUUCCUCGGAAUACCCUCGGUAAUCUCCGAGAAAUUUCUGAGGAACCAGGGUUUGGGGUUUUAAAACAUCGAUUAUUUUCGCCGUAUUUCAUUUCUUAUACAAUUAUAAUGCAUACCAUUGAGGAUUCUUUGUAUAGAUGAUCAUAAACCAUGAAAUAACACAAUUUCAAAAAUAAUUGUAAGUAUUCCCUUUACCAUUUAUUAAAGUGUAUAAGUGUUUCUCUUAUGUUGUGUGGUUUUCGUUCAUGCAAUCGUAAAAGUGUUUGUUAUUGGAUAAAACACCAAAGUUCAUAGUUCCAAACAUCAUAAUCUGGUUAUGACACUUAAUGAAGGUUAUAUACGUGUUAUUCAAUCCGUAAAACAUUGUUUUCGAUUUAAAACCCCCAGUUCCUCGGAAUUUCCUCGGAAUAUACCGAGGAGAUUCCGAGGAAAUCCUUAUGUUCGUCGGCAUUUCCUCGGAAUAUACCGAGGAGAUUCCGAGGAAAAAGAAUCUAUAAUCAAAUCCCCAUCUCCUCGGAAUUUCCUCGGAAUUUUCCGAGGAAAUACCGACGAACAUAAAGAGUUCCUCGGAAUUUCCUCGAAAUUUUCCGAGGGAAUUCCGAGGAACUUGGGGUUUUCAAUCGAGAAGAUCUAUUCCGAGGAAAUUCCGAGGAAAACCUAUCUGUCCUCGGAAUUUCCUCGGAAUUUUCCUUUAAAAAAAAAAAAAAAAAGGUCAGUUCCUCGGAAUUUCCUCGAAAUUUUCCGAGGGAAUUCCGAGGAACUUGGGGUUUUCAAUCGAGAAGAUCUAUUCCGAGGAAAUUCCGAGGAAAACCUAUCUGUCCUCGGAAUUUCCUCGGAAUUUUCCUUUAAAAAAAAAAAAAAAAAGGUCGACGCUAGUCUGUUUCCGAGUCGUCAUCACCAGAUGAAUCUGAAUCUGGAUCUUGGUGAAACUCUCCAAUCACUGGUUCAUCCUCUACGUGAACGGCGGCUUCUUCUCCGAAGUCAGUUAAAUCGACUACAAGGCCAACUCCACCUAAAUCUUCUGCUGCACUUAAGUUGCCGGAUGUGCUUGGUUGUAGUGGGUCUUCCAGCUCAUAACUUCCCUGAACUCGGCCUCUCGGGUUGAGUCUUGUAACAGUAACCCAUGGAUCAUCUCUGUUCCUUACCCGGGGGUACUUGAUAUAACAAACCUGAUCGGCCUGAGAAGCAAGAAUGAAAGGAUCAUAAUAUUGCAGCUUCCGUCUUGAAUUUACUGAUGUAACACCAAAUGCAUCUGUUCUCACACCUCGAUCUGGAGUGUUGUCGUGCCAGUCACAAUAGAAAACAGUACAGCGCAAUCCAACCAUGCCCAAAUACUUGAUUUCCAAAAUCUCAUUUAUGUGUCCGUAGUAUACAUCAUCUCCUGAUGCAGAACAAACACCAGCAUCGUAAGUCGUACUCGAACGUCUCCUCUUCUGAGUUGUGAAUGCAUAUCCUCGAGUACAAAAUCUCGGAUAUGACUUCACAACAAAGUUUGGUCCAACACGACCAUCUCGCGUAUCCAAUCGUCAAAUGUUUCACCUCUGGCCAAACCAUCACUCACAUAAGUAAACAUCCAUCCACCAAAUUCUCUCUGCUUCAUUUCUUCUAGUUCGUCCUCUGUGGCGUAUCUAUAUUCUAACCGCUUUUCUGCCAUGAAAAUCCUUUCAUAUUGAAGAACAUCUUCGCAGUUGGUGAGUAAAUAUGUUUGCAAAUGACUGCGCUCCUGAUCAGUAAGUCGACGGUCCUUUGGUUUUCCGCUAAGUCGUCCAACGUCUGUGAAAAUGUCUGGAACCUUCCAAUGAUAUGUUGCCCGUUCGCCUCUAUCAUCAUGCCGAGCAGGUCUUCUGUUUUUGGUCUGAACUUCUGCUGGAAAGUAGUACUCGGCAAAGUUUGAAGUUUCUUCAUUGAUCAUCUGUGCGACUAUAGACCCUUCCACCCUACUUAAAUUUUUCACCAUCUUCUUCAAAUGGAACAUAUACCGCUCAUACAGAUACAUACAUCUAUACUGCACAGGACCACCAAGUUCCAAUUCUCUUACCAGGUGAAUAACAAGAUGCUCCAUAACAUCAAAAAAUGAGGGAGGAAAUAUCUUCUCAAGGUUGCACUGAAUCACAGCUAUGUUAGUCUUCAAAUUUUCAAUAUCUUCAAGAGUCACUGAUCUUGUGCAUAAAUCGCGGAAGAAACCACUUAUCCCUGCAAUUGCUUCAUGAACAUUUCGUGGUAAUAGUUCCUUGAAGGCAAACGGAAGGAGACGCUGCAUCAUUACAUGGCAAUCAUGGCUUUUCAAGCCAGUAAACUUUCCUUCCUUUCUGUCGAUACAGUUACGCAAAUUAGAUGCGUAACCGUCUGGAAAUUCCACAUCGUUUGAAAUCCAAUCAAAGAACGCAUCCUUUCCCGCUGCAUCAAGUCGGUAUAUGGGAAAAGGAGCCCUACCACUCUCAUCAACAUGAAGUUCUGAACGAGCACAUAUAUCGACUAAAUCCAGUCUUGACUUCAAAUUAUCCUUUGUUUUACCUUGAACAUUAAGGAUCGUGUUCAUGAGAUUGUCAAAAAAGUUCUUCUCGAUAUGCAUGACAUCUAAAUUAUGCCUUAGUAGAUGAUCCUCCCAGUAUGGCAGAUCCCAAAAAAUACUUUUUUUGUGCCAGUUAUGUAGGUUUCCAACACCAUCUACCGGAAAAUGCUCAUGUCCACCGACGUCUGGCGUCCUUUCUGCACCAAAAUCUCUAAGUUGUGUCUUCAAAUCUUUCCCACGAAUUUCCGGAGGUGGACUGUCAAACACCCUCUUGUUCUUCGUAAACAAAUUCCUACUUCUACGAUAUGGAUGAUCUGGUGGUAGAAAUCUCCUGUGACAGUCAAACCAACACGUUUUCCUUCCGUGUUUUAGUUGGAAAGCAUCAGUGUUAUCUUGACAAUAUGGACAUGAUAGCCUUCCAUGCGUUGUCCAUCCAGAUAACAUACCAUAUGCUGGAAAAUCACUUAUUGUCCACAUUAGUACUGCCCGCAUUUGAAAGUUUUCUUUAUACGAAACAUCGUAUGUUUCAGCACCUUGAGUCCAUAGUUGUUGCAACUCAUAUAUUAGUGGCUGAAGAAACACAUCAAAUGAUCUCUUAGGAUGCUCUGGUCCGGGAACGAGAAUCGAGAGAAACAAAAACUCUCGUCGCAAGCACAAGUUUGGGGGUAGGUUGUAUGGUGUAAGAAUGACUGGCCAUAGAGAAUACUGUCUUCCACUCUUGCCAAACGGGCUGAAACCAUCAGUACAUAAUCCAAGGUAGACAUUUCUUCUCUCAUACGCAAAGUCGGGAUACUUUGAUUGGAAAUGCUUCCACGCUUUUGCAUCUGAAGGAUGUCUGAUCUCACCAUCUGUUGAGUGCUCCGCAUGCCAUCUCAUUGGUUGCGCUGUGCGUUCAGACAGAUACAGCCUCUGCAACCUUUCCGUCAAAGGCAAAUACCACAUCCUUUUAUAUGGUACUGGAACUCUUCCACUCGUAUCUUUAUAACGAGGCUUCCCACAAAAUUUGCAUGAAACCCGCUGUUCAUCCGCCCUCCAAUAAAUCAUGCAGUUGUCUCUGCAUACAUCUAUUACCUGAUACGAUAAACCAAGACCAGCUACGAGUUUCUGAACCUCGUAGUAUGAGCCAGGAGCUACAUUAUCUUCGGGUAGAAUACCUUUUACAUAAUCAGCAAUCGCAUCCACACAGUCUUCAGCCAAAUUAUAAUCCGUCUUAAUGCCCAUCAAUCUUGUAGCAGAUGAUAAAGCUGAAUGACCAUCUCUGCAACCUUCGUACAAUGGUUGCUUUCCAGCAUCCAACAUAUCAUAAAAUCUCCUAGCUUCGGCAUUGGGUAAAUCUUCCCCUCUAAAAUGAUCAUUUACCAUCUGCUCAGUACCUACACCGUAAUCUACAUCCGUUCUAAUUGGAUCUUCUAAUCUAACCGCUGGCUGAGGUUCGCUAGUACUACCAAGUUCAUAAUCAGUUUCUCCAUGAUGAUACCAAAUUUUGUAACUUCGUGUAAACCCACUCAAAUAUAAAUGAGUCCAAACAUCCCAUUCUUUAAUAACUUUUUUAUUUUUACAAUUAGAGCAAGGACAUCUUAACAUACCUGUUUUUGCUUCCGGUUGUCGGUGAACUAACCCCAUGAAUUCGGUUAUACCUUGUUGGUAUUCUUCCGUAAGCAAUCUCGUGUUCGGAUCCAAAUGAGGUCGAUCGAUCCAAGAACGAAAAUAAUUUGAAGAAGACAUGUUUUUUAUGAAUCAAAUUCGUGUGUAAAGAAAGUGAGAGGGAGGAUGAAGAUAUGGUGUGAAUGAAGAGGAAGAGGGGUGCUUGUAUUUAUAGUUGAAAUCCUGCCGACGGUCCGAGGAAAUUCCGACGGAAUUCCGAUGCAAACGGCUAGUUCGUCGGAAUUUCCUCGGAAUUUUUAAAAUCCCCCAACGGCUCUCCAACGGCUCUCUAACGUCUAUAAUAUUUCCUCGGAAUUCAUCGGUUUUUUCCGAGGAAUACUAGUUUCCUCGGUAUUCCGUCGGAAUAUUCCGACGAAAUGAAUUUUCCUCGGAAUUCCGUCGGAAUAUUCCGACGGAAUUCCGAGGAAGCAAAAUUUUGUGUUUCCUCGGAAUUGCCUCGGAAAUGCCUCGGUAUAUUCCGAGGAAUUCAUUUUCCGUCGGAACGUCCGUCAGAAUACCGCUGUUUUCUUGUAGUGGAUGAGUUCUCUGGUAAAAUUUCUGACAUAUCUUCCAAGUCUGCAGCGUUAGGCGAAAUUCUUGAUGAACCAAAGCUUGUUAAGAAAUUCCUCAGCAGUCUUCCGAAGAAAAAAUACAUACAUAUCGUAGCUGCGCUUGAACAAGUCCUUGAUCUAAACACAACAGGAUUUGAGGAUAUUGUGGGAAGGUUAAAGGCUUAUGAGGAACGAGUUCAGGAUGAGGAUCAAAAGGACGAUCAAGGAAAGCUCCUAUAUACUAACACUGACUCUAAAGAGCAACCAGAGAGUUAUGGCAGAGGAAGAGGCCAGGGUGGUCGCUACAACAACAGAGGACGUGGAAGAGGACGGUAUAAUAACCGAACUAACUGGAGACAAAGAGGCGAAUGGACGCAAUGAAGGGAUGCAUCCAGAGUGGUGUGCUUUCGCUGUGACAAAACAGGACAUUAUGUCUAUGACUGUCCUGACCGUUUGCUUAAGCUCCAGGAGGCACAGGAGACUGAAAAUAAUGGCACACAUGAGGCUGAGGAGCUAAUGGUGCAUGAGUUAAUCUACCUUAAUGAAGAAAGGGUAGUACCAAGCAAGUUUGAGACACAAUCUGAAGAUGAUAAUGUUUGGUACUUAGAUAAUGGAGCUAGCAAUCAUAUGACGGGGAAUCAAGGCUACUUCACAAGUAUAGAUGAGUCUGUUACUGGGAAAGUGCGUUUUGGAGACGACUCAAGGAUUGACAUUAGAGGAAAAGGGUCGGUUCUAUUUCUUACCAAAGACAGAAAGCGGAAGUUCUUGGCUGAUGUGUACUACAUACCUGAGCUGAAGAGUAACAUAAUAAGUCUUGGUCAGGCAACAGAGUCUGGCUGUGAAGUCAAGAUGAAAUAUGAGUAUCUAACGCUUCAUGAUCGUGAAGGAAAUCUGUUAAUCAAGUCAGUAAGAUCGAAGAAUCGACUAUACAAGGUCACAAUGGAGGUUGAAGGAACAAAGUGUCUCCAACUAGAGAAGGUCAGUGACUCAGCUCUGUGGCACGCAAGACUUGGACACGUUGGUGUUGAUGCCAUGAGAACUAUGAGGAGCAAGGAGAUCAUCACUGGUAUGCCAAAGAUGAGUAUAGGGAGAGAAACGUGUGCCUCUUGUCUUAUGGGAAAGCAAACAAGAGCUUCUUUUCAUAAGGCUACGGCUUAUCGUGCCACAAAGAGUCUUGAACUUCUUCAUGGUGAUCUAUGCAGACCAAUCUCACCAUCAACAGCCGGAGGAAGUAGAUAUAUAUUUGUUUUGAUCGAUGAUCAUUCGAGAUACAUGUGGUCGAUUCUGUUGAGUGAGAAGAGCGAGGCUCUUGAGCGUUUCAUAAGGUUCAAGCUUCUUGUGGAAACAGAAAUCGGAGCUAAGAUUCAAACGUUGCGUACAGACAGGGGUGGAGAGUUCAUGUCUCGAGAGUUUCAAGCUUUCUGCGAGACACAAGGGAUUAAGCGACAUAUGACUGCGCCAUAUUCUCCUCAACAAAAUGGAGUCGUUGAGAGACGAAACAGGACUCUAAUGGAGAUGACUAGGAGUAUCAUGAAAGCUAUGAAGAUACCACACUACUUAUGGGGAGAAGCCGUGAGACAUUCAACUUAUCUGAUAAACAGGGUAACUACUCGAACACUAAAAGAUCAGUCUCCAUACGAGUGUCUCAAGAAGAAGAAGCCCAAUGUUGGACAUCUACGAGUAUUUGGCUGUGUGUGUUAUGCUAAAAGAGAUACUCCACACCUUAAGAAACUGGAUGAUAGGUCUAGAGAACUUGUACAUCUUGGAGUAGAACCAGGUUCGAAGGCUUAUAGAUUGUAUGAUCCGAGGAAUCGCAAGGUAGUGGUCAGUCGAGAUGUUGUUUUUGAUGAAAACAAGGCCUGGAGUUGGCACAAAGCUGAAAAAACGAGCUCUGGAAUAACGUGUGAGGUCACGUUUCCAACACAUAAUGAGGCAAUAGUCGCUGAACCCGAAACAGGAGAUAGUGAACGUGGAGAAGAUGAAGAAGAGAGUGACUGUGAGGAAGAUGUCGAGACAGAGGAGCUUGAAUCACCAAUACUAAGAAGAUCAAUGAGGACUAUAAAACCGCCGGGUUACUUUGAUGACUAUGUUCUUAAGGUAGAAGUGCUUGAGACAGAGAGACUCUUGUUGCUUAUCAAUGAAGAGCCAUGGGACUGGAAUGAAGCAAAGGUCGAGAAGGUUUGGAGGGAAGCUUGUGAAGAUGAGAUCAUGUCUAUAAAGAAAAACAAGACAUGGACACUUGUUGAGCUCCCUGCGGGAUGUAAAGCUAUUGGAUUAAAGUGGGUGUUUAAAAUUAAGCGCAAUGCAGAUGGGAGUAUAAGCAAGUACAAAGCAAGACUUGUAGCUAAAGGCUAUGUACAACGUCAUGGGAUUGACUACGAAGAAGUAUUUGCCCCUGUCGCAAGAAUAGAGACAGUUCGCGUUAUCAUUGCGUUGGCAGCGUCCAAUGGCUGGGAAGUUCACCACCUUGACGUCAAGACAGCAUUUUUGCACGGUGACUUAGCUGAGGAGGUGUAUGUGUCUCAACCUGAUGGAUUCAAAACAAAGGGGAGCGAAGAUAAAGUUUACAAGCUUCAUAAAGCUCUUUAUGGUCUGAAAAAAGCUCCAAGAGCUUGGAACAUCAAGUUGAAAUCUAUUCUUAAGGAGUUAAACUUCAGUAAGUGUUCAAAUGAGCCUUCUCUCUUUAAGAAAAAGACGCAUGGGAGAGAUCUGUUAGUUGCUGUUUAUGUUGACGAUCUUUUGGUGACUGGGUCAUGUGUGGAGAUCAUACAAGAGUUUAAGGCAGAGAUGGCGGAGAAGUUUGAGAUGACUGAUCUUGGAAGGCUCACCUACUAUCUAGGGAUUGAAGCAUUCCAGUCCGAGCUUGGCAUUGUGUUGAAACAAGAAAGGUAUGCGCUCAAGAUAGUAGAAGAAGCAGGGAUGAGUGAGUGUAAUGCAGUCCAAAUACCGAUGGACUCAGGCGUGAAGCUAUCCAAGGCAGAGGAAGAAGAAGACGUCAAUGAAACAGAGUUCAGGAAGAACAUUGGGUGUCUCAGGUACUUGAUUCAUACACGUCCUGAUCUUGCCUACAGCGUAGGAGUUCUGAGCAGAUAUAUGCAUAAUCCCAAGGUCUCACAUGCAGUGGCGUUAAAGCAAGUGCUUAGGUAUGUUCGAGGGAGCUGCUCUCACGGUUUGUUCUAUAAGAAAGAGAACAAUAAAGGCCUUGUAGGAUACAGUGAUAGCAGCUACAAUGUGGAUCCUAAUGAUGGAAGAAGCACAACCGGUUUUAUCUUCUACUUCAAUGAGUGCCCUGUGUCUUGGUGUUCGAUGAAACAAGAAAUUGUGGCUCUAUCUUCUUGUGAGGCUGAGUUCAUGGCAGCGACGGAGGCGGCUAAGCAAGCUAUAUGGCUUCAGGAGCUUCUAGGCGAGAUUGUGGAUGAGCCUAGCAAAGCAAUGAUACUGAUCGACAACAAGUCUGCUAUUGCCUUGACUAAGAAUCCAGUAUUUCAUGGUAGGAGCAAGCAUAUUCACAAACGGUUUCAUUUUAUUAGAGAAUGUGUUGAAUAUGGACUGGUGGCCGUGAAACAUGUAGCUGGUACGGAGCAGAAGGCUGAUAUCUUGACUAAGGCACUUGGAAUAUGUAAGUUCAAAGAGAUGAGAGACUUCAUUGGUGUUCAAGAAGUGAAGGAAGAAGACAUCAAGCUUAAGGGGGAGAAUGUUGACCUAACUUAAGCUUGAAGUUAUCUUGUUGUUAUCCUAAUGAGUUUAGGAUUUGAAUAUCUUGAGUUGUAGUUAUCUAGUUAAGUUUAUCCUAAUGAGUUUAGGAAACUAUGAGUUAGUAUAUAAGAAGCUAUCAUGAUGUGAUAGAGCUUAACGUGUGAUUGAGAGCUUUUAGUUUUUGAGACUUUCUAAAGGCAAUAAAAGAGUUCUUGAGUUUGGGAUUAUUAACUGUGAUUGUUGAGCUACGAUCAUAUCUUUGGUUUCAAUAAGCUUGGUGUCUGUAAUGGUUGAAGUGGACCGAAUUCUUAGACCACAAGGAACAUUUAUAGUAAAUAAUGGCAUGGAAAAGAUAGGAGAAAUUGAGAAGAUGAUGGAAUCACUGAAAUGGAAUGUAAGAAUGACACAUUCCAGAUAUGGAGAAGGAGUGAUCUCUGUUCAGAAGUCAUGGUGGCGUCCUACAGAGGUCGAGACCAUUACAUCGGCCAUAGCAAGUGAAAGAGAAUUGGUUUAAUAUAGUUUUAUGAAAAUGUUUCUUUUAUGAUCACGUUGAUUGUUUACAUUGUAUUAGGCCAAUAUGUGUAUCCUUUUUUGCAUUGACGAAAAUUGUAUACAAGACAUUGUCCCUAUAAUUUAUGCUUUUUAUAAGUUUUUAAUUUGGUCCUAAACACCCGUCACCCGUGGAAUAUUUAUACUACUGCAGCAAACUUAUAUAGACUGUCUAUUUGAAAUAUAGGUAUAUGAUGGGCUCAUGUUAAUUACAUCACCAAAGAACUCUCAAUAGAAAAAUAAACUAGAGCAAAAAGAAUUAUUAAAUUAAAAAAAAAUUGUAACCAAAUUUAAAAUAUAACUUAUUAAAUUCAAUAACCAAAUAUAGUAAAAUUGUUACUAUAAGAAAUAACUUAUAAAAUAAAUUCAAUGUAAAUUCUUAUACCAAAAAUUAAUCAAUAAAUCUUAUAUUAAAAAUUAUAAUUAGUUAUUCAAAUAACAUGGUUUUGUUUGGUGUCCAAAUAUAAUAGAAUAUAAAAAAUUCAAAUAAAUAUCUAUAUUUUUAAGUAGUAACAAUUGAUAUUAAGUUUUCAUGCUACCUACCUUAAAAUAUUUUUUUGUUAUAGGAAAAUAACAAAACAAUUUUCCAAAAAAUUAUAUAUCAAAAAUAAAUUCUAUUGUACAUAACUUACAGAAAAAAUGAUAAAAUAAAUAGUAAAAGUUGUUAUAAAAAUAGUGAAAUUAAUGUCACAUAUAAUUGAAAAUGAAUUAAAUUUUUUAAAAAUUACAUCAAAGUGGUUUUAAGGGUAAAAUAAGUAUUGUGAACACAAAAUAUAGGGUUAGUUUAUUUAAUUAAAUGUGAAUUUUUUUACAAAAUAAUAAAAUAAAAAUAUCAACCAUAAUUUAAUACAUAAAUGAAACUAAUAUAUAUACUUGCAUAGUCCAACAGAAGUCAUAAUGUAAAGUACCUAUAACUAAAUAAGUAACAGAAAUAAAAUUAUAUAACUUAUACUAAAACCAACAGAUUAAUAUAUAUAAUAAAUAUAGACACGUUUUCAUCGAUAAUCACAACAAUUACAUUAGAAAAUUUAUUCACCUAACGAAACUAACUUUGUGUCUUUUACAGUAAACGAGUUCAACCAAAAAGAAUGAUAAAUGUUUUUAAAAAAAUUAUAAAAUAACAUUUCAUACAUUAAUUAGAAUAAAAUAAUUUAAAUUAAAAACAAAUGUUAAGCAAAAUAUAAUUCCCGCAGGUGGAAUAUGAUGAGUCCAUGUAAAUAUUACAUAACCAUUAUUAAAAUAGGCGAUCUCCAUUAUAAAAAUGUACUAUUUGUAUUGACAAUUGAUAGAAUUAAAGAGAUGGAGAUGCUCUUAACAUGAAACAAUUUGGUUUUGGUUCGUACUCUAUUAUAUGUUCGCUUCAGUUUCAAAUGUAUUUUGUUAAAAAAAUUGUACAAUCAGUGAAGUUAUUGCCUUAGUCGAUAAUGUUUGGCAAUAAAAAUAUUAAACUGAUAACAUGGAGAUUCAUUAUAUAUAUCGACACAAAAUAAUGAAAAAAAUAAAUAAUAUAUAUAGUAGAAAGUCUAUAAAGUAAUACUCGGUAAAUGAAUAGACACAAUAAUUAAUAAAUUUUAGUUAUUUUCUAUUGGACAUAUGUAAAAUAUAACUGAAUUUGAUAAAAUAAUACUAACAUAACUUUAUAUAUAAAAAUUUUAUAUAAACAUAAACAAAUCAUCUUUUAAAAAAUCAAUUAAUCUUUCUUUCUUUUUAAAAAAAUUCACUAUUCUGAUGUUUUUAUUGAAUUACAAAGAAAAGACAUAUAUUAUCAUCAAAUUCAACACACAUUAUAUAUCAAAUAACUUAAAUAAGUAGAUAAAAAUUUUAAUUAACAUAUAGUAUCAUAAAGUUAUUUUCUUUGGAAGACAACAACCAUUAUUGUAAACAAACAAAAUAUAUCUUAUCACAUAUCAAUAUCUCACCUAAAACUUCCUGAAAGACGAAAAUCAUUAUCAUACACAUUUCUUGCAAAUGCAAACCUAAAAAACAAAUCACAAAAUCAUAUAAAAAUAAUAACCUAGAUCACAAGUAAAACAUAUCCCGCCCGUAGGGCGGGCCGACCCUAGUUAUAUAUUGUGAUCUCUUGGCUUUGUAAGAGACACAAUACUUUCAAUUUAUAAAACAGAAGCUUUGCUUUAAACCCUUGUUUUCGGCUAGAUCAUUGGUGAUCUCAACGCAAACAAGUUCGUAGGUUCUCUUGGGCCUUCUCAGACUAAACAGUUGAACUACAUCUAUUGAUUACUAUUGUUUACUCUAUCAGUUGGUAUCAGAGACACCUUUUAGAUUUUUCAAUCUAAACUGCGAUCAUGGCACCACGGAAACUUACGGACGAACAACUGGAAGAAAUUUGCCUCAUGCUUGAGACGUUUACUACCGGUUUGCAGAGCACUUCACAAACCUCUGUAACUACCGCUCUACAAGAAGUGUUACACGAUCAACAAGCUCAUCGCGAAGAUCAGGGAGUCAACCCUCAAAAUCAACAGCAACAACGCGAUGCUCAAGCCUUUGAUUCUGAUGAAAAAGAGAUGGGAGAGAACGUGUUCGCAGAGCACGGUCGCGACCAAAGGAUACGACGCAGAGGUCAACACAACGCUCGCAGUGAUGACAAUGAUCAAUGUCUACAGCAACCUUAUCGGUGGGAAACAAGUUUCCGAUCUGAGAUUCCAUAAUUUCAUGGCACUUUGAAUCCGGAGGAUUUCAUUGAUUGGUUGAACACAGUCGAGGAAACUCUCGAGUUUCGUCGAGUUCCUGAUAACGCACGAGUUCCAUUAGUGGUUACUCGCUUCAAGGGCCAAGCAAUGGCUUGGUGGCAGCAACUCAAGGAAUCUCGUCGACAAGCAAACAAGGCUCGUAUUAGUUCAUGGGAUCGUCUCACAAAACAUAUGCGUCGAGGUUACCUACCAUUCAACUAUGACUGAACCCUGUACAGCAAGUUACAAAACCUAAGGCAAGGGACACGCUCCGUUGACGAAUACACCAGAGAUUUCAUCUUCAUGACUUCAAGAAUGACUUCUGGUGAAACUCAACAGUAAUUGAUUUCACGCUUCAUCGGAGGACUCAGAUCUCAAUUGCAGGUGGCCUUGGCACAAUUCAACCCAACGACAGUUUCUGAAGCGCACCAACAAGCAAUCUCAAUGGAGCUCCAACUCGUUCUUCCUGGACUUCAACAUCAUGAAAUUGUUUCCAGCAGAACACAACAAACGACAACUCAGAACAGUCACCAGGAGAUGGAUCAGGGACAAAACCCGACAUGCAAAAACCGCCUAACAACGUAGAUACAAUUUCCAAUUCUCGUCCAGUUCGAACCAACGCUCUUCGUUGUUUCACUUGUGGAGAAAGAGGCCAUAUCCAAAGAGCCUGUCCUAACAAGACGAAACGAGGAGUUCUCAUCCAAGACGCAGACGACGAAGAACCACAUUAUGAUGAUGAUGGCGAGAACGACGAGGAUACCAUCGACAUACUGCAGGGAGAUACGGGUUUGAACUUGGUCUUGCGACGUAAUUGUCUCCUACCAAGGGCAACACACGAAUCUUGGAUUUGCACUAAUUUUUUUUGGUCGACAUGUACUAUCAACGGGCGAGUUUGCAAACUCAUCAUCAAUUCUUGAAGCUGCACCAACGUUAUAUCGUACGAGGCUACACAGAAAUUGGGUCUCUCCAUCAAAGCUCAUCCAUCACCCUACACCCUGGUGUGGCUCAACAACGGCACAGAAAUCAACGUCUCUAAACAGGUCGUGGUUUCCUUUUCCAUUGGACACUACAAAGACUCUACGACUUGCGACGUAAACCAAUGGACGCUUGUCAUUUGUUACUUGGGAGACCAUGGCAGUUUGAUCGGGAUGCUGUUCAUCGUGGAAAAGAAAACACAUAUAGUUUUGAGUUUGACAACCGUACGAUCACACUACUUCCGUCCAAGGAACAACCGGAGCCAAGCUUACGAGCGGAUACUAGCGCUACACCAGCCGACUCUCCAGGUGCAAAAACAUUAUUGACUCUUCCAAAGUACGGUUUUGAGAAACAAAUCAACGAUGCUGACAUUGUGUGGGCAUUAGUUGCCUCUUCUGCACCAGCCCCAAUGACUGAAGAACCCCCGGUAGCUUUUUUUCCAUUGCUUACCGAAUUCACUGAUGUGUUCCCCGCGGAACUCCCAAGUGAUCUACCUCCGUAAGAGACAACCAACAUCAUAUCGACUUGGUCCCCAACGCAGUCCUUCCUAAUAGACCACAUUAUUGCAUGAGUCCACAUGAACAUGACGAGCUUCGUCGACAGGUGGAGAAACUACUUCACAAAGGCCAUGUUUGGGAAAGCUUAAGUCCAGCAGAUGUGCCCGCUCUGCUAAUCCCAAAAAAGAUGGUUCGUGGCGUAUGUGUGUGGAUAGUCGUGCGAUUAAUAAGAUCACAGUGCGGUACAGAUUUCCAAUACCGCGUUUAGACGACCUUCUUGACCAAAUCGGCACAGCAACAAUGUUUACUAAGCUCGAUUUGAAAAGCGAGUACCAUCAGAUACGCAUACGACCUGGUGAUGAAUUGAAGACAGCGUUUAAAACUCGCGAAGGUCUUUUUGAGUGGACAGUAAUGCCAUUUGGACUCUCCAACGCACUGAGUACUUUCAUGGGAGUAAUGAAUCAAGCUUUACGGCCAUUUAUUGGAAAAUAUGUUGUCGUCUACUUUGACGACAUCUUAAUCUUUGGCCAUGAUUUACCUAGCCAUCUGGAACACUUGCGAACAGUGUUGGAGGUUCUUCGUCGAGAAAAGUUGUACGCAGCUCUCCAUAAGUGUGUUUUUGGGGUCGAUUAUUGAUACCACUCAAAUUACCCUAAGGAGUGUUCCUCUCAUCAAAAGAGGUUCAGAUGUAAUACUUAGGGAUCGAAUCCACAAGGAACUAGGGAACAAUUAAAUCUAAUAUUUAUUAAUUCUAAGGGUUAUAAAUGUUUAAAUGAGAUAGCAAUAGUAACAAGCAAAGUAACUAGUAAACGUAACUUGGUUGGAAAUGAUAUUAGAUGCAGGGCCACUAUUCAGGUGUUGGAGAUUAUAAUACCUAUAGAUGCCUAAUUGUUGCAUGCAUGAUAUAUUAGAGCUCAAUCGCUUAACUCAGUGAUCAGUUGUCGCAUGUUUCACUGGUUAACAUGCUAGAUCUCGUGUCUCAACGGUUAGUAUGUCGACAACGAGAGAGUGUCGAUCGAUGGUCCUAUUGGGAUGUCGACCGAUACACCUUUGCCAACGUCGAUCGAUAGUCAGUUGAGGAUAUUGAUCGACGGGUUCUAGCCAGGCCUAUGCGCGAGUAUGAAAUGCCCUAUUAAGAUACUAAAUUGGCGGUUAGCCCUCUCUAGCAGUCCUAAUAUGAUAGAUAGAUGUCAGGAUGGGAUAACAAGGGUGCUUGAAUAUGCAAUCCUAUGAUCAAGUUCUAGUUAGCAAGGCUAAAACAAGCAAUGAAUACAAAUCUAUCAUGAAUAUCCAACAAGGCAGAUCUAUAGUUUGGGGCUAAUCCCACAAACCUAUCUGAACCCUGGAUCUAAUAAUUGAACUACUCAGACAUAGCAAAGCAAUUCAUAAUAAUGAAGAAAUAGAAACUCAUAGUAUAGAUGAAAAAAAAAUUAUAACAAGGAGUUCCAAUCCUUCUCUCCAAAACUUGUAACAAAAAGGUCUCUACCAAAAAGCUCUUAUGCCAUCAAAACACUUAGGCAGUAUAUAAUCUACUAGGUUAAAAACUCGUCAGGGCAUUUUCGUAAUUUGGCUUGGCCAUGGGUUAAGUCUGCUGAAUCCAAAAUGUCGUGUGUCUGAUGUCUCGACAUCGAUCGAUGGUACUUGUGUACAUCGAUCGAUAUAAAUCUUCAUCUGUCGAGGCAUCUGUGGGAACCGAAAUUCGCACUGUCGAUUUCCGUUUAAAUAAGGAAACUAGGAAAACCCUAAUUUUCUAGAGGUCCCGGAUCACUGCGGGAGCCAACGACAAGUGACCAAAUAUAUGCGGAAAUUAUGAAAAGAUAACAAACGAGUUUAGGGAAAACAGUUGAUCUUAUUUCGAGUCCGCGUAAGAGCGUUGCGAUCAUUACCAGAGAUCAUGAAAGCUUUGGCCGCAAAGGCUGUCAGCGAGUUACUUAGUUCUAGCGGCCUAAUAGCUCAAACCUAGUUGAGUCGCAGCUCGAUAACGAAAGACGAAAUACAUAAAGAAAAGGUUUUUGAUUGAUUUUGGACUGAACCUUGUUAAAGGCUGCCUACGUACCCCUUUCGAGGAUCAAGCCGAACGUAGUUCAAUUGAUAGAGCUGGACAAUAGAUCGAACUGCCUGGGCGAGUUCGUCUAGUAAUCGAGUGCCAGUCAUAGAAACCGAACUUGUCGAGAAUAAGCCUAAAGUUUCUAAGUGCAGAGAAUUCCGAGUCUAAAAAGCUCUCUCCCAUGCUCCUCGCCUAGGACUCCUUAUAUACUAGCUCCAAGGUCGGUUUACGCUUUUACUCUUCUGCCCUUAAGCCGUCAUAGCAUAAAAAUGGAGAUAUUCCAUUUUUCCCGAUCUUCACAAUUAUCUUCAAAACUUCCGUAUUUAUCCGCGGAAACUUGACAUUUAUCCUUCCUUGAGCGCCAAGCGUAAACCGUCAUACGGUUUAUGGGCUUUUGGUUAAGAAAUCGUAAGUUGGGCCUCGAGUCGUGUCUUAGGUCCCUUUGGGCCGUCUUCCGACUCGAAACGUUUAUUACGACUUCUUUCGAUAAAGAAUGAACUUUCCGCGGUUUUUACCGCAAAGUUUGAUUGAUGUCUUAGAAUGGUCGGAAGACAUGAACUGAGUUCGCUACGGUCUUCGGGAGAUAGCAUCGUACGAUAGACGAGAAUGCUUGAAUUGGUGUUGUAUCGAUGUUUCGGAAGAGUUCGGUCGCUUCGUAACGACCGAACAGCACGGACGCUCGGUCGCUACGUAGCGACCGAGCGAGAUGGACGUAGCGACCGAGCGGGACGGACGCUCGGUCGCUACGUAGCGACCGAGCUGUGUGCAUGCUUGGUCGCCGCGUAUCGAUCGAGCUUGGCUUGUCCGCGGUCUGAUUUCCAUACUCGAGCUUGUCCGCGGCCGAUUUGGAUACAUGUCCGUUGCCUUCGGACAAUCGGUAUUUAGUGGUUCGAUUGAGAUUUGGACGAUAUUUUACUGCAAGGCUCUUCGUAAAGAUAUCUUUACGAAGAUUACUUUUCGUAAAAACGUUUAUGCUGAUUUUUACGGACUUUCAGACAUUGAUUCCGUCGUGACCGAUUUUGACCCCAACAGUUAGCCCCCCAGCUCGUUAGAACCAUGAGCUUCUAGCGUGAGUUUCUAGCGAGUGGCUUGGCAAUUUAGGCAAGUUAGGUGAGUUAGGCGGAAUUAAUGGUUGAAAAGGUCUGUGGUAAGUGAUCUUCUCGCUCUCCUAAAAGUAGAAAACGCGAUAAGAUUGGGGCUGCGCCUUAUGACGGCUGCCUACGUACCCUUGUUGAAGGGAUCAAGCCUUUCGUAGUUCGUCUUGGAGUGAAGGUUCUUAUGACUAGUUUUCCAGUAGGACCUUUAUGGUCUAGUUUUUAUGUAGCGGUUAUAAGGCGUGUUGCUGCCGAUGGCAUUUUGUAUGGGUGUAGAGGGAAGACUACGAGUUGUCGUCUCGUAAUCUAACUCUGUGUGAAUUGCCAUAUCCAUAAUCUGUUUCGAGAGUUUUCUGCAGUGUGUAAACUUGCGGGAUUUUCUGAAGACGUUCGAACAUUGGCAAAGAGACAAAUUUUGGGAUCUUGUAUCAGAGUGUUUGAUACUAUGCCUAGAGAUGUUAGAGACCAGUGCGCUGGGUUUAGGGCAAGACCUAGGUUUACUUUCGGUUUAAGGAUUGUGCGGUGACUGGCCGGCUAUCAUUUUUCCUGUUACGAUUUCUUCCUGAUUCGUAUCGAUUUAAAGUCCGCGAUAGGUUCUCGGCUUAUACGACUUGUUUGAUACGAAUCGAGCAUCUCUCCGGAGACCGGAAGUGCUGGACCAAAAUUUCGGAUUUCUUUUAUAGCGCUAUUAUCCUUGUGUCGGAUGUAAGAGAGUCAUCUUCGGGAGAUGGUUAUGUCUGUUUAGGACGUUGAGAGUUUGUUGUGAUCAGCAACAAACUUAAUGGUAAAAAAAUUACCGUUUCGAGUCUUCGCGAAGAAUAUUUUUUGAGAAGAUGUUAGUGCGUAUGACUGUUUGGUCUUCCAUGAAGGUAUUUUUAUCGAGGAAGGAAAUUUCGUCGAAGAACUAAUCUUCAGGCGUCUGCGACGUCUCGCGAUGCUGAAGAUUUGUUAUUCUUUCGUAUGCCACGUUUCGUGCUUGAAAUGUUCGCGGGCUUGAAGAUAUUUCGCGAUGUUGCAAGGGUUUAGUCUUAGCCAUGCGUUUGAAAAACAUUCUAGUUUGACUACGAAUGUUCGCAGCCAAAAUUGUUGUUCAUGUUUGGAUGCUAAUAGUUUUAUUUGCGAUUGAGGAAUGAUGACUGAGGUGUCGUGUAAAUUUGUCCAUGGGAACAAGCGUUUUCCUUCAUAGUGCUUUGUGAAGUGUUGGCCUUCCGAGAUGUAUUUCGUGCAUUUUUUAGGAUGUUUCGUAUAGCUCUAGAAGCUUUGUUACGAAUUUUUCCUUACAUGCCGCGUAUUAUGGUUAAAACGGUGCGGGCUUAAAGUGAAUUGUGGAGCGUAUUGAACUUGGUCAAUUUUCGAAAAGUUUAGAUUUUCCGUUAACCGUUUGGUUGUUAGGACUUAGUUUCGUUACGAAGAAUUUAUCAUAUGAUUUCCGACUGUGGGCUAUACGAUAAUUUAUCAUAUCAUAUCACCGAUUUUACGAAGGUCGUAAAUCAGUGAUAUGUAUACAUAUGUCAAAGCAGCAUUGUUUCUGCGGGUUUUACGAGAAACGUUCCCGCUGUGAUUUUGAUCUUAGGUGAAAGUUGCUUGGAGUUACUCAUGGAGUACUACCGAAGUUUAUUUCAAUACGAUCUAGUCGCGGAGCGUUUUUCAUAGGUUUUUCGAGAGGAUUCUCAUGACACAUUCGUUUCUUGAACGAAUUGGUCAACCAGAGGUGGAUCUAGCUAACCAUCGGGAGGAAAGUGAUCCAUUUAAUGUGCACGAUGCUACAUAUAUUCUCGAGUUUUCUUUGUCGCAAAUGUUUUCGAUGCUUUUCCGUGACUUACUUGGUAUAUGUCGGUUCCGAGAAAAUUGCCAGAAAUGAAUCGGUUUUACGACGACGUUCAUGUCUCUAACUUUUUCUCUCUUUAGGAAGCGAGCUUGAUAUGCGUGGCGAUCGUUUCUCGACUUUCGAAGAGUUUAGAUCGGUUUGCAAGAUCUGGAUGAACAAUUAUGAACAAUAUAUCGAGACAGGAAAAAUCGCUUAAAACUUAGUUCGCUAGACUAUCCGCCUAGGUUUUACGUUCCCUAAAGUUCUAUGGCAGCCUCAAAGUAAUUUCCUACGAAAAUUACAAAUCUGAUUUCAAAAAUUUCAAGUCGGAAAUACCUUAGUUCUCUCGAAGAUGCAGUUUUGUCCCUUCUUAGUUUUGCGUGCUCAUUUCCGUUUCCUAUUCUCGUGUAUGUUCACCAUUUUCGAUAUUGGUGUUUAUCCUUUGAAACUUGACAUUAUCUUUCGAACUUGACUGUUAUCUUCUCCUUAGAUAAGACGUCGAUUUUGGUAAAAAGGUUCAACGUAAUCGUAUAGUUAAGGCGGCUAAGGUGUUAAGUUAACCGUUGCCGUUUUAUACGAUUAAUCUGAAUCCAUGCGAGGAAACAUGUCUUUGCGGUUUUUUUUUUGUAUCAUGAAGUCUCAAUGGUAACUUCAAUCGAGGCGAAACAAGAGACGUUUCGAUCAAGAUUCGAAAGUGAACGCAAAGAUGGAGGUAGGGCGAGCAGGAACAAGCCAAGGAGUCUUAAGAUGAGUUUUACUUGUUUUUGUCGUAAAUUCUCGAUGGAAACUCCGAUUGAGACGAAACGAAAAGCGUUUCGAUGAGGAUUCAAAGGAGAACGUAAAGGAGGACCCCUUUGAGGCCUGACGGGUUGCUAUAGCGAGUGAGGAUGUCAUCUCGGUCGCUAUAGCGAGUGAAAGGGAGCCGAGACGAGUCCAACUUGUUUUCGUCGUAAAUUCUCGACGGAAACUCCGAUUGAGACAAAACGAAAAGCGUUUCGUUGAGGAUUCAAAGGAGAACGCAAAGGAGGACCCCUUUGAGGCCUGACAGGUCGCUAUAGCGAGUGAGGAUGUCAUCUCGGUCGCUAUAGCGAGUGGAAGGGAGCCGAGACGAGUCCCACUUGUUCUCGUCGUAAAAUCUCAACGGAAACUCCGAUUGAGAUGAAAAGAAAAGCGUUUCGAUGAGGAUUCAACAGAGAACCCAAAGGAGAACCUCUUGGAGGCCUUAGAGGUCGCUACGUAGCGACUGAUGGUCUGACAGGUCGCUACGUAGCGAGUGGAAGCAAGCCAAGAAGAGUCCUACUUGUUUUCGUCGUAAAAUCUCAACGGAAACUCCGAUUGAGACGAAACGAAAAACGUGGCGAUGAGGAUUCACAAGAGAACCCAAAGGAUGACCUUCCCGAGGCCUUACCGGUCGCUACGUAGCGACUGACGGCCUGACAGGUCGCUACGUAGCGAGUGGAAGCAAGCCAAGAAGAGUCCUACUUGUUUUCGUCGUAAAAUCUCAACGGAAACUCCGAUUGAGACGAAACGAAAAACGUGGCGAUGAGGAUUCACAAGAGAACCCAAAGGAGGACCUUUCUGAGGCCUUACCGGUCGCUACGUAGCGAGUGGAGAGUUGGCAUGAGCUCGGUUGCUACGUAGCGACCGAGCGGUGUGCGUGCUCGGUCGCUACGUAGCGACCGAGCGGUGUGCGUGCUCGGUCGCUACGUAGCGACCGAGCGGUGUGCUCUCGAGCCCAGGCUUAUACCUUGUUGUAAACGCUCAUACGCAGAUUGGGAAUAAGAUCUACUUUGCUCUUUUUUUUCGAUUUCUUAUUCUUAUCGUUGUUAUUCUCGUGUUCUGAUUGCUUGACGUGUGGUAAUUAGCAGAUAUCCGGGUCCUCUGGGAAACUAGGGUUUUCUUAGUUUCCUUAUUUAAACGGAAAUCGACAGUGCGAAUUUCGGUUCCCACAAUAUUCGACAUCUUGGGUCCUCUGGGAAAUUAGGAUUUUCCUAGUUUCCUUAUUUAAACGGAAAUCGACAGUGCAAAUUUUGGUUCCCACAGUUUGGCGCUAGAAGGAGGGGGGAUACGGAUCAAUCUAACCCGCAAAGUCACUCAACGAUCAGAAACGAUAUGCAAGACUCGACGUGCGCGAACGUCAUCUCAUUCAAGGGGGGAGCAACGAUAGAUCGGGCCAAACCUCGAAACGAUCUCCUUGUCAUCGAGUUGACGAUUCGAGAUAUCGACGUCGCUAGGGUGCUGAUCGACACCGGUAGUUCGGCCGAUAUCAUCUUCAAAGAUACUCUCGAAAAAAUGGGGAUCAAUCAAUCCGAAGACACGAAAUACCCAAUCCUACUGCUGGGACUUUUGGGGGAAACAACCAUGGCCUACGGAUCGAUUAAUCUCGCUGUCAAAGCCGGAACCGUGACGAACGUCACAGAGUUUCUAGUCGUUGACCGUCCCGCAUCUUACAACUUUAUCAUGGGGACGCCAUGGCUGAACGCCAUGCGCGCAAUCCCAUCAACAUACCAUCUUUGCCUCAAGUUCCCGACCCCUAACGGAGUCGAGGUAAUAUGGGGAAAUCCGAGAGUCUCACAGGUUUGUUUCGCCGCCGAACUGAAACGAAAAAGACCGAUCCUUGAGAUCACUCCUAGAAAAGUGGAGGACAAGACCUCCAGCAAAGAUACACGAGGUCAGGAUUCAGCGGAACUCUUCUGGCAAUCUCGCAGCAUCGCAACCCUAGAAGAAAAACGCGAGCCAACAUGCGAACCCGUGGUAACGAUCUGUCUCGACGAAGCCUUCCCGGAACGCUGCGUCGAGAUUGGAGUCAAUCUCCGCGAGCCUUUAAGAACAGAGCUCAUAGCCUGUCUUAAAAAGAACCUCAAUACUUCCGCAUGGGCUGCAGAAGAUUUGUCGGGGAUCGACAUUAACAUAACAUGUCACGAGCUGAAUAUCGACCCAACAUUCAAACCCAUCAAGCAGAAAAGGCGGAAGCUAGGACCCGAACGUGCUGCCGCAGUAAACGAUGAGGUCGAAAAAUUGCUUAAAGUUGGGUCGAUAACAGAAGUAAGAUACCCAGACUGGCUUGCCAACCCUGUAGUAGUCAAAAAGAAAAACGGGAAGUGGCGAGUUUGCGUGGAUUUUACCGACCUAAACAAAGCAUGUCCAAAGGAUAGCUUCCCUCUACCACAUAUCGAUCGAUUGGUAGAGGCAACAGCGGGCAACAAACUUUUAUCCUUCAUGGAUGCCUUCUCAGGUUAUAAUCAAAUUAGGAUGAAUCCUGACGAUCGCGAGAAGACUGCGUUCAUUACCGAUCGCAGAACUUAUUGCUAUAAGGUAAUGCCCUUCGGCCUCAAAAACGCCGGUGCAACUUACCAACGACUCGUAAACCGAAUGUUCUCUAAACAACUCGGAAAAACGAUGGAGGUUUAUAUCGACGACAUGCUCGUCAAAUCCCUCAAAGCAAAAGAUUACGUGUCACAUCUCGAAGAGUGUUUUGCGCAAUUAAAUUCCCAUAACAUGAAGCUCAACCCGACAAAAUGUAGAUUCGCCGUAGCGUCAGGGGAAUUCCUCGGCUAGCGGAAACCGACCUCGGAGCUAGUAUAUAAGGAGUCCUAGGCGAGGAGCAUGAGGGAGAACUUUUUCAGAGCAAACUUAGCACUUAGAGCAAUUUAGGAAAUUUUCCGGUUUUGUUAUUUCGAGCUGCGACUCAAUUAGGUUUAGCCGUCUUAGGGUUACUAGAACUAGGAAUCUCGCCGACAGCUCUCGAGCGCAGGCUUAUACCUUGUUGUAAACGCUCAUACGCAAAUUAGGAAUAAGAUCUUCUUUGCUCUCUUUUCGAUUUAUUAUACUUUAUCGUUGUUGUUCUCGUGUUCUGAUUGCUUGACGUGUGGUAAUUAGCAGAUAUCCGGGUCCUCUGGGAAAUUAGGGUUUUCCUAGUUUCCUUAUUUAAACGGAAAUCGACAGUGCGAAUUUUGGUUCCCACAAACGGACUGAAGAAACGCUUAGAGGCCAAAAAAGGCAGGAGGGCCGACGAACUCGAGGGAGUCCUCUGGUCUCACCGUACCACCCCAAGGCGAGCAACGGGAGAAACUCCCUUCGCUCUGGUAUACGGCACGGAAUGCAUGAUUCCCGCAGAAGUAGAGACUCUCAGUCAGACAUGUCAAAUAACGACGCGGAUAACGUGCAAACUUCUCUUAACGGAGGCAGCGGCACCGAUCUCCACACUCCAGUAGCGGACGUAUCCGCGGCCAACGCACAAGCCAACGCCGCGACGCUCGAGGAGUUUAAAAAGAUGUUCGCCACCUAUGAGAAAAUGUCGGAAGAACAGGAUAAACUCGUGAAUACCUUCACCAAACAGGUUGAAACCUUAACGGCAAGGACCCAAGCAAUCCGUCCCCGCGGAACCACCAAAAUCCACGGGAAGAGGCUCGACUUCGCCACCCCACUCGAUAGAACAGGAGUCGCGCGGGAACGACCUUCCGGUCAAAAUCCUAGCGAGAAAUCUCCCAUCGAAAAGGGGAACCCUGAAAGUCUUCCGCCCCCUGCAAAGGACUCGGAGGAUAACGAAGCCGAACACAUUGACCUGGAUCCUAGCGAUGUCUCCAACGACACCGACGAGGAUGUCGACAGACAUCCAAGAAGGACCAGAAGCCGAUCCGCUCGGGAAGGCUCUCCGUUCGAAAAACCAAUGACGGAAGAAGAGGAAAUCGCCUAUUGGAACGAACAAGAGGAGCUGGCUGAAAAGCAAACCGAGCUCACUCGCAGUAAACGCCGACAAGCUCGGAAAUCCACUGACGAGACACUGGAUAUCCGCGAUCUUCGUGACUACAUCACCAAGACUGCGGCAGAAGUGAGAGCCGUAAAGUCUCAAAUCCAUCAUGCUACUAGUGCUGCCCCCGAGAUCGAUUGACUGCUGGAAGGAGCUCGAAAGACCCCCUUUACCAGUCGCAUUUCAGACAUGAGGGUGUCCGAUCCGGGAAAAAUCAAAGUACCGAAGUACGAUGGUACGGCCGAUCCAAAAGCGCACCUUCAGGCUUUCCACAUCGCGAUGGGAAGAGCAAGACUGAAGGACAGCGAAAAAGAUGCCGGCUAUUGCCGCCUGUUCGUCGAAAAUCUUGAAGGAGCAGCGCUCGAAUGGUUCGCACGGCUUCGUCGCAACACCGUCGGGAGUUUUCGACAGCUCGCAUCGGAAUUUCUCAAACAGUACUCUGUAUUCAUAGACAGAGAAACUUCCGAUGUUGACCUCUGGAGUCACUCCCAGAGGGAAGACGAACCCCUCCGCGAGUUUAUCAGUCGGUUCAAGCUGAUAAUGUCCAGGGUCAGCGGGAUAAGCGACAAAGUGGCCAUCGACGCGCUGAGAAAGAUGCUCUGGUACAAGUCGAAAUACAGAAAGUGGAUAACUCUCGACAAACCGCGAACGAUCCAGGACGCCCUCCACAAAGCGACGGACUACAUAAUAGUCGAGGAAGAAACUAAAGUCUUAUCGCAAAAACAUAAGGCGGCAAGACCAUCCUCGAAAGACGUGGAUCCGAAAGGGAAAAAAGAAGAACUCUCGUAACGACAAUUACGUCCAUCACGAGGGGGAAUAUCUUCAAGGGGCGCAUAACUAUGCGAUCAAUUCGGAUCAAGGCCGGACCACGGGCAACACAUGGACUCGCAAUCAAGGGUAUGACGAAAACACCUUCUGCGAGUUCCACCAAUUCCGAGGACACUCCACGACCAACUGCAAAGUCUUGGGAGCAAGACUGGCCGCGAAGCUACUCGCUGGAGAGCUCUCGGAAGUAACUAGCGUCAAGGAUCUCAUCCUCGAUUCUGAUUGUCCUCCAAAGACGGACAGAAAUCGCAAGCUGAAAAAUCCCCUCAACGAACCCAACCUGGGGAUAAACGCGGUAGGAGGCCGGACGACAAGGGGAACGAUAACAAUCGUCGCAGAGUCAAUAUGAUCAUCGGAGGAUCACAAUACCGCCGAUACCGUGUCGGCCAUCAAGGCUUACCAACGGAAGGCAAAGUCGAGUGCAAAUUGGCCUACAUGGUCUCCUCCUCGAGAUGACAAAAAUUGCUCGAUCACCUUCACAAAGGAAGAAGCCGGCGGUAUCGACCAACCUCACUGCGACCCGCUCGUCAUAGAUCUCGUCAUACGAGAUUUAGAAGUCAGAAGGGUACUCGUCGACACAGGAAGUACGGUCAACGUAAUUUUCCGCGACACUCUCAAGCGGAUGAGCAUCGAACUCGGAGAAGUAAUUCCGACGCCAAAACCGUUCAUGGGUUUUUCAGGCGAAGUAUCGAUGACUCUUGGAUCGAUCCAAUUGCCAGUCAUGGCCAAGGAGAUCACGAAAAUCGUCGAGUUCGCGGUAGUCGAUUAUCCCGCUAUCUACAACGUGAUCAUGGGAACCCCAUGGCUCAACGCCAUGCAGGCAGUUCCGUCAACCUACCACCUGGGUCUCAAAUUCCCAACGCCAAGCGGAGUCGCGGCCAUCUGGGGAUGCCAAAAAACGGCAAGCGCACGAAGAUAGACCGAUCUUCGGCCAAAAGCGCCCCAGGAAAAGAUGAAUUAAAAUCGUCUACCGACGCAAACGCAUCGGACGUCGAAGCUCGACACAAGUCCGAAGCCCACGCUACAACUCAACCGGAACAUCCGGAAAAUAGCGUUGACCCAACCACGAUCGACACGGUCAAGGCGGACAUCGCAACAUCUACCGCCGAGUAAGAACACUCGCGACAUGAAACAGAACUACGAGAUGGCUUGAUUCUCGAAAGGGGUACGUAGGCAGCUCGUCAAAAGACGAGUUCAGCUAUCCCCCUCUCUAAAAAGGGGGGGNNNNNNNNNNNNNNNNNNNNNNNNNNNNNNNNNNNNNNNNNNNNNNNNNNNNNNNNNNNNCCCCCAAAAAAAGGGGGGGGGGGGGGAGUGGGUGCGUAUACUUGUAUACUCCCACUUAGAAAAAUCUUCUUUAUUGUAAUCGAGUUUUUAGAAACUUUAAAAACUUUUACUACAAUAUACGUUGUUCUUUUUAUCGAAAACGUUUACGCUUCAGUAAAACACAAAAGAAACUUUCAGGACACGCCUGGAAACAUUAAGACUCUUGUCUGCGGCCUCAUCCGGCCCAAAAAAUCAUCUUUCAAACACGCAUAGAUACACGUAUAAUCCCCGAAACAACUGCGAGACGUCGCAAAAGUUAAAAUUCGAGGAUAAUACUAACAAAUUGUCCGAACGCGACCACCAAAACCUUACACCCCGUUCGUCGAUUGGCCCCGACGAACACGCUAGCCGUCUUAAACAAACGCAAUUCGAUCACUCUUUUGAUCUUCAAAACGUCCAGCACAAGGACAAAAGCGCGCUACAACAAAAACCCGAAAUUUUGGUCUAGCACUUCCAGUUGACUCUGAGAAGAUGCUCGAUUCGUACCAUACAAGUCAUAUAAGCCGAAAACCUAUCGCGGACUUUAAACUGGUGCGAAUCAAGAAGAAAUCGCAACAGGAAAAACGAUAGCCGGCUAGUCACCGCACAAACCUUAACCGAAAGUAAACCUAGGUCUUGCCCUAAACCCAACGCUCUGGUCUCAAACAUCUCAAGGCAUGAUAUUUAAAAGAUACGAGAUCCUAAACCAUGUCUCUCUGUUCGUAUCUCAAUGUUCUCGAAAAUCGUAAAGAUAAGUAAAUUUUUACGAAAAUCACGAACGAACCAACAGAUUGAACGUCUAAUCAGAACUAAAUACGAGACGACAACUCGUAUUUACUUCGACCCUACUCAGGAAAACUCGAAACGAAACAUUCAUCAUAUAAAUAAACCGCGUAAGGCGGUAAGGGUUUCAAAGCCACCAACGGCCAGUCCCGGUAAAUACAAAUACGGCCAUCUAGGCCUAAGCAAAAUCCAAAGGCCACACUCAGCCAUAAACAUAAAAUAGAAAGACGAACAUCUUUCUUUCGAUAUUUACUCCACCGCUCAUAAUCCAAAGUCAAAGUCCCCGGUAAACGAAGCACCGAACACAUCCGCGGGACGAUCCACUUCCUCGCCACCAUUGGGAAACCCGGUCGAAACCUCCUCGGUAUCAGGGGAAACCGGGAUGGAAUCCCAGAACCCUUGAAUCCGCUCGUCGAUCGGAGGGAUAAGCGCCUCAGCGUGGGCACGUUCAUUCAUCCCACUUUUCAUCAAGCUCAUUUCCUCCUCGAACACAUAGUCAUCGGCUCGCGUCCUCUAAAGACUUCCGACCGAACCGCGGCACUCACGGAAAUCAUCCACCGAGGUAAAGGCGUUCUUGAGGUUCCCAUACUCAACCUGGAAUUGAGAGGCACGAGUCUUCAUCACCUCGACGAUUUCUCUUUUGCCUUUCCUUUCCGCCUUACGGACAGCCCGCGCAUGAUCACGAGUAAGUUGCACUUCUCGCUCCAAAAUCUCGCCUUGCACGCGAGCGAGAUCUCGUUCCGCUUUCUCUGCUUUGAAACGAUAGAUCAUAGCCUCCCUAUGACUCGCUUCAAUGGCCGAGCCAAGCAAGUUAAGGCCCUGCGAAAUCAAUUAACGCAUUGUAAGCAGAAAAAGAAAAACCUAGGCAAUCACGAAUAUUUUCGAAAAAAUCAUACCCCGUUGAUGAUUCGGGACCCUUCCGCGAUGACUUUUGGCCUCGCCGACUCUUUCGCAGGUGGAGGAGCAUCAAAACCCGGUGGCAGACCGGCAAAGAAAUCAUCAAAGUCCGGGAUAGGGGCCUCGCUCGAGCCACUCCCAUCGCCAUAAGCUAGGUUCGGAUCCCAUCCUGGAAGCAUAGAGUCAUCCAUCGAAAAUUCUAUGUCGCCAAGGUCGAUAUCUUUUCCCUUCCAAGAGCUCGACUCCGGCACGGCUAUUGGGGCUACAGCAGAACUCUGGUCAUCAGGUUCAGAGUCGCUUCCCGUAUCCGCAACCGAGGCAGGACCAUGGUGCACGAACCUCAGUGCCCUCUGAAUCCUCUUCGGCGUAAAGGAAGUCCAAAAGAAGGGACCAUUCCUAAGAAGAUCCCUCACCUCAAUAAUGUCCUCAGGGAACGGAGCAAGAGGAUUGAUGAAAGGAUGAUCGUUCGGCAACCUUCGGAACAGUGGAAUGCAACUCUCUUCGACAGACGCAGCGUCUAUACGAACAAAGAAGAAAAACCUCUUCCACGAGUUGAAGUUCGAAAUGAACUUCUUAACCACUGACAUAAACUUCCGAGGGACCAGCCUAUGCUUGUCCGUAUCUUUGACGAGUUCAAGCCUCAAAAGCAUUUCAAAAUGAUCGACGGAAAGGGAAAGGCCAUGCUCUCGUAGCUCAGAAUCAGGAUCCCGAUAAGAUGCUGAAUGGCGAGGGGGGUCAACUGGCUUAUCGCAACCGCGAAACGGUCCAAUACUCGGACGAGGAUUUCGGGGAUUGGGAACCAUAAGCGACAACGCACUACGAACGCCUCGUAGCAAGUGAAGUAACCCUCUGGGGGGCUGUUAGCACAUUCUCCGGGGUAGGGAACCCGGAACUCCACAGCAUCCGGGAUAUGGUAGAACGAUUGCAUGAUCGCGAGAAACUCGUCGGUACUCCUGCUCGGAUACUCUUUCUCGACCCCACGAUGGGUCAGGACCGGGAACGACUUCUCUUUGGGAGGAAUCAUCGAACCAUAAUGAGCAACCCACCAUGCCUCAUUCUCGGCGGGAUGUACCGAGUGAGGCACGAACUCCAUCUUUGGAACAAUGAGCUCUUCAUAAGCACUCGCGGACGAAGACCCUUUUUUCGCAAUCUUUUUCUUGCUCGACAUCUUUACACUUCUCUUGAGAAAAUAGAGGAAAAGGGUGGAGAGAAAGAAAGAAAUUUUUUCUUAAGAAAGAUCUUAGAGAAAGACAAGAAAGUGAAAAAAUUAUGAAACAAGUUACCUCCCUUCUUAUAGGCAUGAGGAUUUACUAUUCAAGCUCGGACUUUCGGAUAUUAAUUCCAUCCAACACGCCUAACUUNNNNNNNNNNNNNNNNNNNNNNNNNNNNNNNNNNNNNNNNNNNNNNNNNNNNNNNNNNNNNNNNNNNNNNNNNNNNNNNNNNNNNNNNNNNNNNNNNNNNNNNNNNNNNNNNNNNNNNNNNNNNNNNNNNNNNNNNNNNNNNNNNNNNNNNNNNNNNNNNNNNNNNNNNNNNNNNNNNNNNNNNNNNNNNNNNNNNNNNNNNNNNNNNNNNNNNNNNNNNNNNNNNNNNNNNNNNNNNNNNNNNNNNNNNNNNNNNNNNNNNNNNNNNNNNNNNNNNNNNNNNNNNNNNNNNNNNNNNNNNNNNNNNNNNNNNNNNNNNNNNNNNNNNNNNNNNNNNNNNNNNNNNNNNNNNNNNNNNNNNNNNNNNNNNNNNNNNNNNNNNNNNNNNNNNNNNNNNNNNNNNNNNNNNNNNNNNNNNNNNNNNNNNNNNNNNNNNNNNNNNNNNNNNNNNNNNNNNNNNNNNNNNNNNNNNNNNNNNNNNNNNNNNNNNNNNNNNNNNNNNNNNNNNNNNNNNNNNNNNNNNNNNNNNNNNNNNNNNNNNNNNNNNNNNNNNNNNNNNNNNNNNNNNNNNNNNNNNNNNNNNNNNNNNNNNNNNNNNNNNNNNNNNNNNNNNNNNNNNNNNNNNNNNNNNNNNNNNNNNNNNNNNNNNNNNNNNNNNNNNNNNNNNNNNNNNNNNNNNNNNNNNNNNNNNNNNNNNNNNNNNNNNNNNNNNNNNNNNNNNNNNNNNNNNNNNNNNNNNNNNNAAGUUUCCGCGGAUAAAUACGGAAGUUUUGAAGAUAAUUGUGAAGAUCGGGAAAAAUGGAAUAUCUCCAUUUUUAUGCUAUGACGGCUUAAGGGCAGAAGAGUAAAAGCGUAAACCGACCUCGGAGCUAGUAUAUAAGGAGUCCUAGGCGAGGAGCAUGAGGGAGAACUUUUUCUGAGCAAACUUAGCACUUAGAGCAAUUUAGUCAAUUUUCCGUUUUUGUUAUUUCGAGCUGCGACUCAAUUAGGUUUAGCCGUCUUAGGGUUACUAGCACUAGGAAUCUUGCCGACAGCUCUCGAACCCAGGCUUAUACCUUGUUGUAAACGCUCAUACGCAAAUUCGGAAUAAGAUCUUCUUUGCUCUCUUUUUCGAUUUCUUAUACUUUAUCUUUGUUAUUCUCGUGUUCUGAUUGCUUGACGUGUGGUAAUUAGCAGAUAUCCGGGUCCUCUGGGAAAUUAGGGUUUUCCUAGUUUCCUUAUUUAAACGGAAAUCGACAGUGCGAAUUUUGGUUCCCACAAACGGACUGAAGAAACGCUUAGAGGCCAAAAAAGGCAGGAGGGCCGACGAACUCGAGGGAGUCCUCUGGUCUCACCGUACCACCCCAAGGCGAGCAACGGGAGAAACUCCCUUCGCUCUGGUAUACGGCACGGAAUGCAUGAUUCCCGCAGAAGUAGAGUUCCCCGGUGUUCGAAGAAGGUUAUUACCCGAAUGAGAGAAACUCAACGAUGCUAUGCUCUUGGAUGAUCUCGACCUCAUUAACGAGCGCCGAGAUCGAGCGCUCAUUCGAAUCCAAAAUUACCAGCACGCCGCUGCAAAAUACUAUAAUUCCAACGUACGAAAUCGUUGGUUCAAUCAGGGAGAUCUGGUCCUUUGCAAAGUCUUCCAAAAGACCGCUGAACGAAACGCGGGAAAACUCGGAGCAAACUGGGAAGGUCCCUAUAAAAUCGAAAAAGUCGUCCGACCAGGUUCUUACGAAAUAGCCAACAUGCAAGGCAUAAAAAUUCCUAGAACCUGGAUUGCGAUGCAUCUCAAAAAAUACUAUCACUAAACAAACCAACUCGCAAUCACUGAACUACGAGACGGCUUGAUCUCCGCAAGGAGUACGUAGGCAGUUUGCCGAAAGGCAAAUUCAGCUGUCCCCCCUCAUUAAAAAGGGGGGGAGUGGGUACUUAUACUCGUAUACUCCCAAAAUCGAAAAAACUUCUUACCACGCUCUUGGUGUUUUCGACUUAUCAAAACCUCCUCACCCGUAAAAUCAGUGCGAGGUCUUCGGAUAUUAGUCGGCCGUUUAGGAGAAGCAACCUUUAGCAUCGCGAGACGUCGCAAAAGAUGCCUUAAAGGUUAUUUCUUUCGAACAAACAAAACUUCCGUCACAAAAGAAACAUAUAUAUGCACACAUUAGCACCCAUUUUGCGCAAAAAUUCGAAACAACGGCACACGCCACCAAGUCCGAUGCUGAUCACAUCGAACUCGCAAAACGUCCUAAACAGACGUAGCCAUCUCACGAAGAUGACUCUCUUACAUCCGACACAAGGAUAAUAGCGCUAUAAAAGAAAUCCGAAAUUUUGGUCUAGCACUUCCGGUCUCCGGAGAGAUGCUCGAUUCGUAUCAAACAAGUCAUAUAAGCCGAGAACCUAUCGCGGACUUUAAAUCGAUACGAAUCAGGAAGAAAUCGUAACAGGAAAAAUGAUAGCCGGCCAGUCACCGCACAAUCCUUAAACCGAAAGUAAACCUAGGUCUUGAAUACGAAUCAGGAAGAAAUCGCAACAGGAAAACGAUAGCCGGCUAGUCACCGCACAAUCCUUAAACCGAAAGUACACCUAGGUCUUGCCCUAAACCCAGCGCACUGGUCUCUAACAUCUCAAGGCAUCUAACAUCUCAAGGCAUGAUAUCGAAAGAUAAGAGAUUCCUAAACCAUGCCUCUAUGUUUAUAUUUGUUGGGGUCAAAAACGGUUACGACGGAAUUACCACCCGAAAAUCCUCGGAGAUCGUAUUUCCGAAAGAGUUAGUAGAAGAAGGGAUGUAAUUUCCGUAAAAAUAACUUAUACGAGAUUUUUACGAAGAAGUGUCCUUUGGGAUUCAAACCGAACGAUCGUCCCGCUCGGUCGCUACGUAGCGACCGAGCUCGAGCCAAAGCUCGGUCGCUACGUAACGACCGAGCUCAAGCCAAAGCUCGGUCGCUACGUAGCAUCGUCCCGCUCGGUCGCUACGUAGCGACCGAGCUCGAGCCAAAGCUCAGUCGCUACGUAGCGACCGAGCGAUCGUCCCGCUCGGUCGCUACGUAGCGACCGAGCUCGAGCCAAAGCUCAGUCGCUACGUAGCGACCGAGCGAUCGUCCCGCUCGGUCGCUACGUAGCGACCGGGCACUCGUUUCACUCGGUCGCUACAUAACGACCGGGCUCGAGCCAAAGUUCGGUCGCUGUGUAGCGAUUGAACCUUUCCGAACAUCGAUAUGACGCCAGUCCUUGCAUCCUCGUCAAACCUUCAAAUGAUAUCUCCCGAAGACCGUAGCAAGCUCAGUCCAUGUUUCCCGCUAUUCUAAUUCAUCGAUCAAACUUCGCGGAUUAGAAACCGCGGAAAACUCGUAGUAAACGUGUCGAGUCGGAAGACGGCCCAAAGGGACCUAAAACACGACUCGAGGCCCAUCCUACGAUUUUUCCUAACCAAAAGCCCGUGAACCACAGCAUGGUUCACACUUGGCCCACAAGGAAGGAUAAAUGUCAAGUUUCCGCGGAUAAAUACGGAAGUUUUGAAGAUAAUUGUGAAGAUCGGGAAAAAUGGAAUAUCUCCAUUUUUAUGCUAUGACGGCUUAAGGGCAGAAGAGUAAAAGCGUAAACCGACCUUGGAGCUAGUAUAUAAGGAGUCCUAGGCGAGGAGCAUGGGAGAGAGCUUUUUAGACUCGGAAUUAUAAACCAACCUUGGAGCUAGUAUAUAAGGAGUCCUAGGCGAGGAGCAAGGGAAGAACUUUUUUCAGAGCAAACUUAGCACUUAGAGCGAUUUAGGCAACUUUCCGUUUUUGUUAUUUCGAGCUGCGACUCAAUUAGGUUUAGCCGUCUUAGGGUUGCUAGAACUAGGAAUCUCGCCGACAGCUCUCGAGCCCAGGCUUAUACCUUGUUGUAACGCUCAUACGCAGAUUCGGAAUAAGAUCUACUUUGCUCUCUUUUCGAUUUCUUAUUUUUAUCGUUGUUAUUCUCGUGUUCUGAUUGCUUGACGUGUGGUAAUUAACAGAUAUCCGGGUCCUCUGGGAAACUAGGGUUUUCUUAGUUUCCUUAUUUAAAUGGAAAUCGACAGUGCGAAUUUCGGUUCCCACAGUGGUAAUUAACAGAUAUCCGGGUCCUCUGGGAAACUAGGGUUUUCUUAGUUUCCUUAUUUAAACGGAAAUCGACAGUGCGAAUUUCGGUUCCCACAGUUUGGCGCUAGAAGGAGGGGGACUUACGGAUCAAUCUAACCCGCAAAAGCCACACACAGUCAGACAUGUCAACCAACGACGCGGAAAACGUGCAAACUCCCCUUAACGGAGGCAGCGGCACCGAUCUCCACACUCCGGUAGCGGAUGUACCUGCGGCCAACGCGCAAGCCAACGUCGCGACUCUCGAGGAGUUUAAAAAGAUGUUCGCCACCCAUGAAAAAAGGUCGGAAGAACAGGAUAAGCUCGUGAAUACCUUGACCAAACAGGUUGAAACCUUAACGGCAAGGACCCAAGCUAUCCGUCCCCGCGGAACCACCAAAAUCCGCGGGAAGAGGCUCGAUUUCGCCACCCCACUCGAUAGGACAGGAGUCGCGCGGGAACGACCUUCCGGUCAAAACCCCAGCGGAAAGUCUCCCAUCGAGAAGGGGAACUCUGAAAGUCUUCCGCUCCCUGCAAAGGACUCGGAGGAUAACGAAGCCGAACACAUUGACCUGGAUCCUAGCGAUGUCUCCAACGACAGCGACGAGGAUGGCGACAGACAUCCAAGAAGGACCAGAAGCCGAUCCGCUCGGGAAGGCUCCCCGUUCGAAAAACCAAUGACAGAAGAAGAAGAAGUCGCCUAUUGGAACGAACAAGAGGAGCUGGCCGAAAGGCAAACCGAGCUCACUCGCAGUAAGCGCCGACAGGCUCGGAAAUCCUCUGACGAGACAUCGGAUAUCCGCGAUCUUCGCGACUACAUCACCAAGACUACGGCAGAAGUGAGAGCCGUAAAGUCUCAAAUCCAUCAUGCUACUAGUGCUGCCCCCGAGAUCGAUCGACUGCUGGAAGGAGCUCGAAAGACCCCCUUUACCAAUCGCAUUUCGGACAUGAGGGUGUCCGAUCCGGGAAAGAUCAAAGUACCGAAGUACGAUGGUACGGCCGAUCCGAAAGCGCACCUUCAGGCUUUCCACAUCGCGAUGGGAAGAGCAAGACUGAAGGACGGCGAAAAGGAUGCCGGCUAUUGCCGCCUGUUCGUCGAAAAUCUUGAAGGAGCAGCGCUCGAAUGGUUCGCACGCCUUCGUCGCAACACCAUCGGGAGUUUUCGACAGCUCGCAUCGGAAUUCCUCAAACAGUACUCUGUAUUCAUAGACAGGGAAACCUCCGAUGUUGAUCUCUGGAGUCUCUCCCAGAGGGAAGACGAACCCCUCCGCGAAUUUAUCAGCCGGUUCAAACUGAUAAUGUCCAGGGUCAGCGGGAUAAGCGACAAAGUGGCCAUCGACGCGCUGAGAAAGACGCUCUGGUACAAGUCGAAAUUCAGAAAAUGGAUAACUCUCGACAAACCGCGAACGAUCCAGGACGCCCUCCACAAAGCAACAGACUAUAUCAUAGUGGAGGAAGAAACUAAAGUCUUAUCGCAAAAACAUAAGCCGGCAAGACCAUCCUCGAAAGACGCAGAUCCGAAGGGGAAAAAGAAGAACUCUCGUAACGACAAGUACGUCCAUCACGAGGGGGAAGAUCUCCAAGGGGCGCAUAACUAUGCGAUCAGUUCGGAUCAAGGCCGGACCACGGGCAACACAUGGACUCGCAAUCAAGGGUAUGACGAGAACACCUUCUGCGAGUUCCACCAAUCCCGAGGACACUCCACGACUAAUUGCAAAGUCUUAGGAGCAAGACUGGCCGCGAAGCUGCUUGCUGGAGAGCUUUCGGAAGUAACUAGCGUCAAGGAUCUCAUCCUCGAUUCUGAUCGGCCUCCAAAGACGGACAGAAAUCCGCCCGCCGAAAAAUCUCCUCAACGAAACCAACCUGGGGAUAAACGCGGUAGGAGGCCGGAUGACAAAGGGAACAAUAACAAUCGUCGCAGAGUCAAUAUGAUCAUCGGAGGAUCUCAAUACUGCGGCGAUACCGUGUCAGCCAUCAAGGCUUACCAACGGAAGGCAGAAUCAAGCGCAAAUUGGCCUACAUGGUCUCCUCCUCGAGACGGCCAAAAUUGCUCGAUCACCUUCACGGAAGAAGAAGCCGGCGGUAUCGACCAACCUCACUGCGACCCGCUCGUCAUAGAUCUCGUUAUACGAGAUUUAGAAGUCGGAAGGGUACUCGUCGAUACGGGAAGCACGGUCAACGUAAUCUUCCGCGACACUCUCAAUCGGAUGAGUAUCGAACUCGGAGAGGUAAUUCCGACGCCAAAACCACUCACGGGUUUUUCAGGCGAAGUGUCGAUGACUCUCGGAUCAAUCCAAUUGCCAGUCAUGGCCAAGGAGAUCACGAAAAUCGUCGAAUUCGCGGUAGUCGACCAUCCCGCUAUCUACAACGUGAUCAUGGGAACCCCAUGGCUCAACGCCAUGCAGGCAGUUCCGUCAACUUACCACCUGGGUCUCAAGUUCCCAACGCCGAGCGGAGUCGCGGCCAUUUGGGGAUGCCAAAAACAGUCGCGACUAUGCUUCCUCGCGGAGCAUAAGUUAAGGCAAAUCACGGCGUCUGCAAACGGCAAACCCGCGAAGAUAGAUCGAUCUUCGGCCAAAAGCGCCCCGCACAAGGACGAAGUAAAAUCGUCUGUCAACGCAAACGCAUCGGACGUCGAAGCUCGACAUAAAUCCGAAGCCCACGCGACAACUCAACCGGAACAUCCGGAAAAUAGCGUCGACCCAGCCACGAUCGACACGGUCAAGGCGGACAUCGCGACACCAACCGCCGAGUAAGAACACUCGCGGCAUGAAACAGAACUACGAGAUGGCUUGAUCCUCGAAAGGGGUACGUAGGCAGCUUGUCAAAAGACGAGUUCAGCUAUCCCCCUCUCUAAAAAGGGGGGGGGAGUGGGUGCGUAUACUCGUAUACUCCCACAAUCGCCAUUAUUGUAAUCGAGUUUUUAGAAACAUAAAAAUUUUUACAAUAUACACUGUCUUUUUAUCGAAAACGCUUACGCUUCAGUUUACGCUCGUCUGCGGCCUCAUCCGGCCCAAAAAUCGUAAAGAUUAUCACCUUUCAAACACGCAUAAUCCUCGAAAAUAACUGCGAGACGUCGCAAAAAGUUAAAACUCGAGGACAAUGCUAAACAAAUUGUCCGAACGCGACCACCAAAAACCUUACACCCCGUUCGUCGAUUGGCCCCGACGAACACGCCAGCCGUCUUAAACAAACGCAAUCCGAUCACUCUUUUGAUCUUUAAAAACGUCCAGCACAAGGACAAAAGCGCGCUACAACAAAAAUCCGAAAUUUUGGUUUAGCACUUCCAGUUGAUUCUGAGAAGAUGCUCGAUUCGUACCAUACAAGUCAUAUAAGCCGAGAACAUAUCGCGGACUUUAAACCGGUGCGAGUCAGGAAGAAAUCGCAACAGGAAAAACGAUAGCCGGCUAGUCACCGCACAAACCUUAACCGAAAGUAAACCUAGGUCUUGCCCUAAACCCAACGCUCUGGUCUCAAACAUCUCAAGGCAUGAUAUCUAAAAGAUACGAGAUCAUAAACCAUGCCUCUCCGUUCGUAUCUCAAUGUUCUCGAAAAUCGUAAAGACAGAUAAAUUUUUACGAAAAUCACGAACGAACCAACAGAUUGAACGUCUAAUUAGAACUACAUACGAGACGACAACUCGUAUUUACUUCAACCCUACUCAGGAAAAACUCGAAACGAAACAUUUAUCAUAUAAAUAAACCGCGUAAAGCGGCAAGGGAUUCAAAGCCACCAACGGCCAGUCCCCGAAAUACAAAUACGGCCAUCUUGGCCUAAACGAAAUCCAAAUCCAAAGGGCCAUAUUCGGCCGAAAACAAGGAUAACUGAUCCAUCCCUCAUAAUCCAAAGUCGAAGUCCCCGGACAACGAAGCACCAAACGCAUCCGCAGGACGAUCCACUUCCUCGCCACCGUCGUGAAAAUCGAUCGGGACCUCCUCGGUAUCAGGAGAAACCGGGAUGGAAUCCCAGAACCCUUGAAUCCUCUCGUCGAUCGGAGGGAUAAGCGCCUCAGCGUGGGCACGGUCACUCAUCCCACUCUUCAUCAAGCUCAUUUCCUCUUCAAACACAUAGUCGUCGGCUUGCGUCCUCCAAAGACUUCCGACCGAACCACGGCAUUCGCGAAAGUCGCCCACCGAGGUAAAGGCAUUCUUAAGGUUCCCGUACUCAACCUGGAACUGAGAUGCGCGAGUCUUCAUCACCUCGACGAUCUCUCUUUUGCCUUUCCUCUCCGCUCUGCGAACAGCCCGCGCAUGAUCACGAGUAAGCUGUGCCUCUCGCUCCAGCAUCUCGCCUUGCACGCGGGCGAGAUCCCGCUCCGCUUUCUCCGCCUUGAAGCGGUAGACCAUGGCUUCUCUAUGACCCGCCUCGAUGGCCGAGCCCAGCAAGCUCAGGCCCUGCAAAAUCAAUGGGCGUGUUACAAAUCCAUACAUAGGAUAAUCACUAAAAAAUUCCCAAAAAAAAACUAACCCCAUUGAUGAUGCGAGAUCCUUCCGCAACGACUCUCGGCCUCGCCGAUUCUUUCGUAGGAGGAGGAGCAUCGAAACCCGAUGGCAGCCCAGCAAAGAAAUCAUCGAAGUCCGGAAUGGGGGCCUCGCUCGAACCGCUUCCGUCGCCGUAAGCAAGGUUCGGAUCCCAUCCUGGAAGCAUAGAGUCAUCCAUCGAAAACUCUAUGUCGCCAAGAUCGACAUCUUUUCCCUUCCAAGAGCUCGACUCCGGCGCAGCUGUCGGAGCUUCAACGGGACUCUGGUCGUCGGGUUCGGAGUCGCUUCCCGUAUCCGCGUCCAAAGCUGGACCAGGUUGCACAAAUUUCAGUGCCUUCCGAACCCUUCUCGGCGUGAAAGAAGUCCAGAAGAAGGGACCAUUCCUGAGAAGAUCCCUCACCGCGAUAAUGUCCUCAGGGAACGGAGCAAGAGGAUUGAUGAAGGGACGAUUGUUCGGCAACCUCCGGAACAGUGGAAUGCAACUCUCUUCGACGGACGCAGCGUCCAAACGAACAAAGAAAAAGAACUUCUUCCACGAGUUGAAGUUCGAAAUGAACUUCUUAACCACCGACAUAAAUUUCCGAGGGACAAACCUAUGCUUAUCCGUAUCCUUGACAAGUUGAAGCCUCAAAAGGGCUUCAUAAUGAUCGACGGAAAGGGAAAGGCCAUGCUCAUAGCUUAGGAUCAAGAUCCCAAUAAGGUGCUGAAUGGCAAGGGGUGUCAACUGACUUAUCGCGACUUCGAAGCGGUCCAACACUCGGACGAGAAUUUCGGGUAUGGGGAACCAGAGGCGACAACGCACUAUGAACGCCUCAUAACAAGUAAAGUAACCCUCCGGGGGGUUGUUAGCACAUUCCCCGCGGCAGGGAACCCGGAACUCCACAACAUCCGGGAUGCGGUAGAACGACCGCAUCGUCGCGAGAAACUCGUCAGUAGUCCUGCUUGCGUCCUUUCCCUCGACUCCACGAUGGACCAGGACCGGGAAUGGCUUCUCCUUGGGAGGGAUCAACGAGCCGUAAUGAGCAACCCACCAUGCCUCGUUCUCGGCAGGAUGCACCGAGUGAGGCACGAACUCCAUCUUCGGAACGACGAGCUCUUCGUAAGGACUCGCGGACGAAGACCCUUUUCUCGCAAUCUUUUUCUUGCUCGACAUCUUUACACUUCUCUUAAGAGAAUAGAGGAAAAGGGUUGAGAGAAAGAUAGAAAGUUUUUUGAAAGAUCUUAGAGAAAAACAAGAAAGUGAAAAAAUUAUGGAACAAGUUACCUCACUUCUUAUAAGACAUGAGGAUUUACUAUUCAAGCUCGGACUUUCGCAUAUUAAUUCCAUCCAUCACGCCUAACUUGCCAAACAUGCCUAACCGCACGCUAGGAUCCCCCCAUGCAUGAUCCUAACGGGCUGGGGGGCUAACUGUUGGGGUCAAAAACGGUUACGACGGAAUUACCACCCGAAAAUCCUCAGAGAUCCGAUCGUCCCGCUCGGUCGAGCUUGGCCGAGCUCGGUUGUUGGGGUCAAAAACGGUUACGACGGAAUUACCACCCGAAAAUCCUCAGAGAUCGUAUUUCCGAAAGAGUUAGUAAAAGAAGGGAUGUAAUUUUCGUAAAAAUAACCUAUACGAGGUUAUUUCUACGAAGAAGUAUUCUUUGGGAUUCAAACCGAACGAUCAACCCGCUCGGUCGCUACGUAGCAACCGAGCUCGGGCCAAAGCUCGGUCGCUACGUAGCGACCGAGCGGGAUGAUCACUCGGUCGCUACGUAGCGACCGAGCUUUGGCCCGAGCUCGGUUGCUACGUAGCGACCGAGCGGGUUGAUCGUUCGGUUUGAAUCCCAAAGAAUACUUCUUCGUAGAAAUAACCUCGUAUAGGUUAUUUUUACGAAAAUUACAUCCCUUCUUUUACUAACUCUUUCGGAAAUACGAUCUCUGAGGAUUUUCGGGUGGUAAUUCCGUCGUAACCGUUUUUGACCCCAACAAUUAGCCCCCCAGCCCGUUAGGAUCAUGCAUGGGGGGAUCCUAGCGUGCGGUUAGGCAUGUUUGGCAAGUUAGGCGUGAUGGAUGGAAUUAAUAUGCGAAAGUCCGAGCUUGAAUAGUAAAUCCUCAUGUCUUAUAAGAAGAGAGGUAACUUGUUCCAUAAUUUUUUCACUUUCUUGUUUUUCUCUAAGAUCUUUCAAAAAAAAAAAACUUUCUAUCUUUCUCUCCACCCUUUUCCUCUAUUCUCUUAAGAGAAGUGUAAAGAUGUCGAGCAAGAAAAAGAUUGCGAAAAAAGGGUCUUCGUCCGCGAGUCCUUACGAAGACCUCGUCGUUCCGAAGAUGGAGUUCGUGCCUCACUCGGUGCAUCCUGCCGAGAACGAGGCAUGGUGGGUUGCUCAUUACGGCUCGUUGAUCCCUCCCAAGGAGAAGCCAUUCCCGGUCCUGGUCCAUCGUGGAGUCGAGGGAAAGGACGCAAGUAGGACCACUGACGAGUUUUGUCGCGACGAUGCGGUCGUUCUACCGCAUCCCGGAUGUUGUGGAGUUCCGGGUUCCCUGCCGCGGGGAAUGUGCUAACAACCCCCCGGAGGGUUACUUUACUUGUUAUGAGGUGUUCAUAGUGCGUUGUCGCCUCUGGUUCCCCAUACCCGAAAUUCUCGUCCGAGUGUUGGACCGUUUCGAAGUCGCGAUAAGUCAGUUGACACCCCUUGCCAUUCAGCACCUUAUUGGGAUCUUGAUCCUAAGCUAUGAGCAUGGCCUUUCCCUUUCCGUCGAUCAUUAUGAAGCGCUUUUGAGGCUUCAACUUGUCAAGGAUACGGAUAAGCAUAGGUUUGUCCCUCGGAAAUUUAUGUCGGUGGUUAAGAAGUUCAUUUCGAACUUCAACUCGUGGAAGAAGUUCUUUUUCUUUGUUCGUUUGGACGCUGCGUCCGUCGAAGAGAGUUGCAUUCCACUGUUCCGGAGGUUGCCGAACAAUCGUCCCUUCAUCAAUCCUCUUGCUCCGUUCCCUGAGGACAUUAUCGCGGUGAGGGAUCUUCUCAGGAAUGGUCCCUUCUUCUGGACUUCUUUCACGCCGAGAAGGGUUCGGAAGGCACUGAAAUUUGUGCAACCUGGUCCAGCUUUGGACGCGGAUACGGGAAGCGACUCCGAACCCGACGGCCAGAGUCCCGUUGAAGCUCCGACAGCCGCGCCAGAGUCGAGCUCUUGGAAGGGAAAAGAUGUCGAUCUCGGCGACAUAGAGUUUUCGAUGGAUGACUCUAUGCUUCUAGGAUGGGAUCCGAACCUUGCUUACGGCGACGGAAGCGGUUCGAGCGAGGCCCCCAUUCCGGACUUCGAUGAUUUCUUUGCUGGGCUGCCAUCGGGUUUCGAUGCUCCUCCUUCUACGAAAGAAUCGGCGAGGCCGAGAGUCGUUGCGGAAGGAUCUCGCAUCAUCAAUGGGGUUAGUUUUUUUUGGGAAUUUUUUAGUGAUUAUCCUAUGUAUGGAUUUGUAACACGCCUAUUGAUUUUGCAGGGCCUGAGCUUGCUGGGCUCGGCCAUCGAGGCGGGUCAUAGAGAAGCCAUGGUCUACCGCUUCAAGGCGGAGAAAGCGGAGCGGGAUCUCGCCCGCGUGCAAGGCGAGAUGCUGGAGCGAGAGGCACAGCUUACUCGUGAUCAUGCGCGGGCUGUUCGCAGAUCGGAGAGGAAAGGCAAAAGAGAGAUCGUCGAGGUGAUGAAGACUCGCGCAUCUCAGUUCCAGGUUGAGUACGGGAAUCUUAAGAAUGCCUUUACCUCGGUGGGUGACUUUCGCGAGUGCCGUGGUUCGGUCGGAAGUCUUUGGAGGACGCAAGCCGACGACUAUGUGUUUGAAGAGGAAAUGAGCUUGAUGAAGAGUGGGAUGAGUGACCGUGCCCACGCUGAGGCGCUUAUCCCUCCGAUCGACGAGAGGAUUCAAGGGUUCUGGGAUUCCAUCCCGGUUUCUCCUGAUACCGAGGAGGUCCCGAUCGAUUUUCACGGCGGUGGCGAGGAAGUGGAUCGUCCCGCGGAUGCGUUUGGUGCUUCGUUGUCCGCGGACUUCGACUUUGGAUUAUGAGGGAUGGAUUAGUUAUCCUUGUUUUCGGCCGAAUAUGGCCCUUUGAAUUUGGAUUUCGUUUAGGUCAAGAUGGCCGUAUUUGUAUUUCGGGGACUGGCCGUUGGUGGCUUUGAAUCCCUUGCCGCUUUAUGCGGUUUAUUUAUAUGAUAAAUGUUUCGUUUCGAGUUUUUCCUGAGUAGGGUUGAAGUAAAUACGAGUUGUCGUCUCGUAUGUAGUUCUAAUUAGACGUUCAAUCUGUUGGUUCGUUCGUGAUUUUCGUAAAAUUUAUCUGUCUUUACGAUUCUGAGAACAUUGAGACACGAACGGAGAGGCAUGGUUUAUGAUCUCGUAUCUUUUAGAUAUCAUGCCUUGAGAUGUUUGAGACCAGAGCGUUGGGUUUAGGGCAAGACCUAGGUUUACUUUCGGUUAAGGUUUGUGCGGUGACUAGCCGGCUAUCGUUUUUCCUGUUGCGAUUUCUUCCUGACUCGCACCGAUUUAAAGUCCGCGAUAUGUUCUCGGCUUAUAUGACUUGUAUGGUACGAAUCGAGCAUCUUCUCAGAAUCAACUGGAAGUGCUAAACCAAAAUUUCGGAUUUUUGUUGUAGCGCGCUUUUGUCCUUGUGCUGGACGUUUUUAAAGAUCAAAAGAGUGAUCGGAUUGCGUUUGUUUAAGACGGCUGGCGUGUUCGUCGGGGCCAAUCGACGAACGGGGUGUAAGGUUUUUGGUGGUCGCGUUCGGACAAUUUGUUUAGCAUUGUCCUCGAAUUUUAACUUUUUGCGACGUCUUGCAGUUAUUUUCGAGGAUUAUGCGUGUUUGAAAGGUGAUAAUCUUUACGAUUUUUGGGCCGGAUGAGGCCGCAGACGAGCGUAAACUGAAGCGUAAGCGUUUUCGAUAAAAAGACAGUGUAUAUUGUAAAAAAAAUUUAUGUUUCUAAAAACUCGAUUACAAUAAUGGCGAUUGUGGGAGUAUACGAGUAUACGCACCCACUCCCCCCCCCUUUUUAGAGAGGGGGAUAGCUGAACUCGUCUUUUGACGAGCUGCCUACGUACCCCUUUCGAGGAUCAAGCCAUCUCGUAGUUCUGUUUCAUGCCGCGAGUGUUCUUACUCGGCGGUUGGUGUCGCGAUGUCCGCCUUGACCGUGUCGAUCGUGGCUGGGUCGACGCUAUUUUCCGGAUGUUCCGGUUGAGUUGUCGCGUGGGCUUCGGAUUUAUGUCGAGCUUCGACGUCCGAUGCAUUUGCGUUGACAGACGAUUUUACUUCGUCCUUGUGCGGGGCGCUUUUGGCCGAAGAUCGAUCUAUCUUCGCGCGUUUGCCGUUUGCAGAAGCCGUGAUUUGCCUUAACUUAUGCUCCGCGAGGAAGCAUAGUCGCGACUGUUUUUGGCAUCCCCAGAUGGCCGCGACUCCGCUCGGCGUUGGGAACUUGAGACCCAGGUGGUAAGUUGACGGAACAGCCUGCAUGGCGUUGAGCCAUGGGGUUCCCAUGAUAACGUUGUAGAUAGCGGGAUGGUCGACUACCGCGAAUUCGACGAUUUUCGUGAUCUCCUUGGCCAUGACUGGCAAUUGGAUUGACCCGAGAGUCAUCGAUACUUCGCCUGAAAAACCCGUGAGUGGUUUUGGCGUCGGAAUUACCUCUCCGAGUUCGAUACUCAUCCGAUUGAGAGUGUCGCGGAAGAUUACGUUGACCGUGCUUCCCGUAUCGACGAGUACCCUUCCGACUUCUAAAUCUCGUAUGACGAGAUCUAUGACGAGCGGGUCGCAGUGAGGUUGGUCGAUACCGCCGGCUUCUUCUUCCGUGAAGGUGAUCGAGCAAUUUUGGCCGUCUCGAGGAGGAGACCAUGUAGGCCAUUUUGCGCUUGAUUCUGCCUUCCGUUGGUAAGCCUUGAUGGCUGACACGGUAUCGCCGCAGUAUUGAGAUCCUCCGAUGAUCAUAUUGACUCUGCGACGAUUGUUAUCGUUCCCUUUGUCAUCCGGCCUCCUACCGCGUUUAUCCUCAGGUUGGUUUCGUUGAGGAGAUUUUUCGGCGGGCGGAUUUCUGUCCGUCUUUGGAGGCCGAUCAGAAUCGAGGAUGAGAUCCUUGACGCUAGUUACUUCCGAAAGUUCUCCAGCGAGCAGCUUCGCGGCCAGUCUUGCUCCCAAGACUUUGCAAUUGGUCGUGGAGUGUCCUCGGGAUUGGUGGAACUCGCAGAAGGUGUUUUCGUCAUACCCUUGAUUGCGAGUCCAUGUGUUGCCCGUGGUCCGGCCUUGAUCCGAACUGAUCGCAUAGUUAUGCGCCCCUUGGAGAUCUUCCCCCUCGUGAUGGACGUACUUGUCGUUACGAGAGUUCUUCUUUUUCCCCUUCGGAUCUGCGUCUUUCGAGGAUGGUCUUGCCGGCUUAUGUUUUUGCGAUAAGACUUUAGUUUCUUCCUCCACUAUGAUAUACUCCGUUGCUUUGUGGAGGGCAUCCUGGAUCCUUCGCGGUUUGUCGAGAGUUAUCCAUUUUCUGAAUUUCGACUUGUACCAGAGCGUCUUUCUCAGCGCGUCAAUGGCCACUUUGUCGCUUAUCCCGCUGACCCUGGACAUUACCAGUUUGAACCGACUGAUAAACUCGCGGAGGGGUUCGUCUUCCCUCUGGGAGAGACUCCAGAGAUCAACAUCGGAGGUUUCCCUGUCUAUGAAUACAGAGUACUGUUUGAGGAAUUCCGAUGCGAGCUGUCGAAAACUCCCGAUGGUGUUGCGACGAAGGCGUGCGAACCAUUCGAGCGCUGCUCCUUCAAGAUUUUCGACGAACAGGCGGCAAUAGCCGGCAUCCUUUUCGCCGUCCUUCAGUCUUGCUCUUCCCAUCGCGAUGUGGAAAGCCUGAAGGUGCGCUUUCGGAUCGGCCGUACCAUCGUACUUCGGUACUUUGAUCUUUCCCGGAUCGGACACCCUCAUGUCCGAAAUGCGACUGGUAAAGGGGGUCUUUCGAGCUCCUUCCAGCAGUCGAUCGAUCUCGGGGGCAGCACUAGUAGCAUGAUGGAUUUGAGACUUUACGGCUCUCACUUCUGCCGCAGUCUUGGUGAUGUAGUCGCGAAGAUCGCGGAUAUCCGAUGUCUCGUCAGUGGAUUUCCGAGCCUGUCGGCGCUUACUGCGAGUGAGCUCGGUUUGCCUUUCGGCCAGCUCCUCUUGUUCGUUCCAAUAGGCGACUUCUUCUUCUUCCGUCAUUGGUUUUUCGAACGGGGAGCCUUCCCGAGCGGAUCGGCUUCUGGUCCUUCUUGGAUGUCUGUCGACAUCCUCGUCGGUGUCGUUGGAGACAUCACUAGGAUCCAGGUCAAUGUGUUCGGCUUCGUUAUCCUCCGAGUCCUUUGCAGGGAGCGGAAGACUUUCAGAGUUCCCCUUCUCGAUGGGAGACUUCUCGCUGGGGUUUUGACCGGAAGGUCGUUCCCGCGCGGCUCCUGCUCUAUCGAGUGGGGUGGCGAAAUCGAGCCUCUUCCCGUGGAUUUUGGUGGUUCCGCGGGGACGGAUAGCUUGGGUCCUUGCCGUUAAGGUUUCAACCUGUUUGGUCAAGGUAUUCACGAGCUUAUCCUGUUCUUCCGACCUUUUUUCAUAGGUGGCGAACAUCUUUUUAAACUCCUCGAGAGUCGCGGCGUUGGCUUGCGCGUUGGCCGCAGAUACGUCCGCUACCGGAGUGUGGAGAUCGGUGCCGCUGCCUCCGUUAAGGGGAGUUUGCACGUUAUCCGCGUCGUUGGUUGACAUGUCUGAUUGUGUGUGGCUUUUGCGGGUUAGAUUGAUCCGUAAGGCCCUGUGUGUGGCUUUUGCGGGGGAGUUUGCACGUUAUCCGCGUCGUUGGUUGACAUGUCAGACUGUGUGUGGCUUUUGCGGGUUAGAUUGAUCCGUAAGGCCCCCUCCUUCUAGCGCCAAACUGUGGGAACCGAAAUUCGCACUGUCGAUUUCCGUUUAAAUAAGGAAACUAAGAAAACCCUAGUUUCCCAGAGGACCCGGAUAUCUGUUAAUUACCACACGUCAAGCAAUCAGAACACGAGAAUAACAACGAUAAAAAUAAGAAAUCGAAAAGAGAGCAAAGUAGAUCUUAUUCCGAAUCUGCGUAUGAGCGUUACAACAAGGUAUAAGCCUGGGCUCGAGAGCUGUCGGCGAGAUUUCUAGUUCUAGCAACCCUAAGACGGCUAAACCUAAUUGAGUCGCAGCUCGAAAUAACAAAAACGGAAAAUUGCCUAAAUUGCUCUAAGUGCUAAGUUUGCUCUGAAAAAAGUUCUCCCUCUUGCUCCUCGCCUAGGACUCCUUAUAUACUAGCUCCAAGGUCGGUUUACGCUUUUACUCUUCUGCCCUUAAGCCGUCAUAGCAUAAAAAUGGAGAUAUCCAUUUUUCCCGAUCUUCACAAUUAUCUUCAAAACUUCCGUAUUUAUCCGCGGAAACUUGACAUUUAUCCUUCCUCGUGGGCCAAGCGUGAACCACGCUGUGGUUUACGGGCUUUUGGUUAGGAAAAUCUUAGGAUGGGCCUCGAGUCGUGUUUUAGGUCCCUUUGGGCCGUCUUCCGACUCGACACGUUUACUACGAGUUUUCCGAGGUUUCUAAUCCGCGAAGUUUGAUCGACGAAUUAGAAUAGCGGGAAACAUGGACUGAGCUUGCUACGGUCUUCGGGAGAUAGCAUUCGAAGGUUUGACGAGAAUGCAAGGACUGGUGUCGUAUCGAUGUUCGGAAAGGUUCAAUCGCUACACAGCGACCAAACUUUGGCUCGAGCCCGGUCGCUACGUAGCGACCGAGCGAGACGAGUGCUCGGUCGCUACGUAGCGACCGAGCUUUGGCUCGAGCUCGGUCGCUACGUAGCGACCGAGCAGGACGAUCGCUCGGUCGCUACGUAGCGACCGAGCGGGACGAUCGCUCGUUCGCUGCGUAGCGACUUGUUUCGAGCUUUUCGUCAGACAUCUCGAUUCUUUCUUCCGUAAAGCUUUUUUCGUAAGAAAUAGUCUAUUUCCGAAAAAUACUCUUCGGAGAAAUUCUUAUUUUCUUCCUCGGACGUUUUGAAUGUUAAAUUUGUCGUAACCGUUUUUGACCCCAACAGUUUGCCCCCCAGCCCGUUAGAGUUGUGACUCUAGCGGGCGGAUAGAUGACUUUGACAAGGUUAAGUGUAUCGGACGAAAUUUACAUUUAAAAUUCCACGGAAAAAAGUUGUCAAGACGACAUUCCGAACCCAUACUUCUAUAAGUAGUGAGCUCUUGUCAUUCAUUUUCUUCACACCUUCCCUUCUUCAUUCCUUCAAAAACCUCUCUAGCUUCAUAAUUUUCCUUUCAACAUGUCUUCCUCCCAAGGUGAUAAGAAGGAUUCCGACGUCGAGAUGGGUGAGGCCACUUCUCCGGCUCCGGUUCCAACUUCUCCGGCGGAAGUGCCGGCUUGUGUUGCCGGUCAUCUUUCUUUCCGAGAGAAACUAGUUCGUCGCCAAGCCGAGAAAGGAUUGGCUCAAACUGGCUCUGAGUUUCCAUCUUCUUCCGCGCAGGUCGUUGCCUCGUGUCAUGGGACCGACGUCGCGGCUCUUCUCCCGCAGGCCCUACCUGCAGGAUCUUCCACGACUCCGAUCCUCGUCGAGGACAAAGAGAAAGCCGCUGACUCUAUGCCUCCGCCUCCAGCCAGAAAAGAAAUCGUUCUGGCAUUGCGUGCUCCUAGCGCUGUCCUGGCUACUCAGCCUAAGAGUCGGAAGAGGAAGCUUGCCAAGAGCGGUGACGGGGAGACUUCGCAGCGAGGUGGGUCGAGCCUAGCAUUGGGACUUCGCGGAAAGGUUUGUUUCUUGUUUGAAUUCUCGAUCGUCUUUCGUGCAUUCUUUUCACGGACUUAGUCUUAAGUAUUUUUACCGUUCGCAGUUCAUAUCGUUGAUCGAUGGGAUGAUCAGCGAAUGUGGUUCUGAGACCAGUCGCCUUUCCGGGGAGUUGGUGGAGCUUCAGGGAAGAUGGUCCGAAACCGAAGCUAUGUUGACGGCUGUCGAGGACUCUCACUCUGCGAAAGUGUCGAAGCUCGAGGUUGCCAUAGGAGAGCUUGAGAGGGACCUUGGGAAGACGGCGAGUUCCUUGCUCAAGGAAAAGAAGGCCAGGAAGGCCAAAUCCUCGGAGGUGCGCCGACUCCAGCGUCAGAUCGAGAGUGACGCGGGACUAGCGCGCCGCGGGAUCCAAGAGGCUACGGAUGCUCUUCGUGUGGAGUUUCAAGGUCGCUUGGCGAAGAUUUCUGCUUCCCUAGGUUCCCUCGAGUGUAUCCGGAGCAGGGAUCUCGCUUUGGCGACGAUUGAGGGCGGGGUGGCCGUAGUUCGGUCAUUCCAAAGUGAGACUCCCCCGACCUUGGAGGCCGAAGAGGCCCGGCUGUCCGGCUGCAAGGGAGAUAUGGCGGCCGAGGAUGGAGAUUUCGGUCUCAUCCUGGCCGACCUGAAAUCCGCGUGCUUCCUUCCGACGUGUUCAGAAGACCCAGAGGGGAAAGACCCGAUGGUCGGAGAGAACGGAAGCGAUGCGGCUCCAGGCUCGGACGAGGCAGCGGGUGAAGAGGGGGCGUAAGUUCUGAGGGCGACUUGGGUUAGAUCUCUUGCGAGAGAUUUUUUUUAAGUUUUUAUGUUUCGGCCUUGAAUGGCCUUGUUUGUAUUUCGGGACUGGCCGUGUGUGGCUUUGAAUCCCUGCCGCUCCGCGGCUUUAUGAUAUGAUAAUCAGAUAACGCUUUUUAUGAAUUUGUGAAUAGUGGGGAGGAAGGUGAUGAGUUGGCGUCUCAUAUCCUUCUUCAAUUGUGAAAUGUUUUAUUCGAGACCUGUUUCGAGAGUUCUUCCGCGAGAUGUGAACUCUGCGGGGGUGCUGAAGGUAUCGAAUGUAAACAUAGAGGCGUGUUUUAAGAAUCUCCUAUCUUUCGAUAUCAUGCCUUUGAGAUGUUAGAGACCAGUGCGCUGGGUUUAGGGCAAGACCUAGGUUUACUUUCGGUUUAAGGAUUGUGCGGUGACUAACCGGCUAUCGUUUUUCCUGUCGCGAUUUCUUCCUGAUUCGUAUCGAUGUAAAGUCCGCGAAAAUUUCUUGGCUUAUACGACUUGUUUGAUACGAAUCGAGCAUCUCUCCGGAGACCGGAAGUGCUAGACCAAAAUUUCGGAUUUCUUUUAUAGCGCUAUUAUCCUUGUGUCGGAUGUAAGAGAGUCAUCUGCGUGAGAUGUCUAUGUCUGUUUAGGACGUUUAUGAGUUCGAUGUGAUCAGCAUCGGACUUGGUGGCGUGUGCCGUUAUUUUGAUUAUUUUGCGCAAAAUAAAUGUUAAUGUGUGCAUGUAUGUAUCUUUUUGCGGAGAUUUCGUUUGCUCGGAAGAAAACAACUUUGAGGCAUCUUUUGCGACGUCUCGCGAUGCUAAAGGUUGAUUCUCCCAAGCGGCCGACUGAUUUCCGAAGACCUCGUUGCGAUUUCGCGGGUGAGGAUGUUUUGAUAAGUCGAAAACACCAAAAGUGUGGUAAGAAGUUUUUCGAUUUUUUUGGAGUAUACGAGUAUACGUACCCACUCCCCCCCCCCUUUUUUAAUGAGGGGGACAGCUGAAUUUGCCUUUCGGCAAACUGCCUACGUACUCCUUGCGGAGAUCAAGCCGUCUCGUAGUUCAGUGAUUGCGAGUUGAUUUGUUUAGUGAUAGUAUUUUUUUAGAUGCAUCGCAUUCCAGGUUCUAGGGAUUUUUAUGCCCUGCAUGUUGGCUAUUUCGUAAGAACCUGGUCGGACGACUUUUUCGAUUUUAUAGGGACCUUCCCAGUUUGCUCCGAGUUUUCUCGCGUUUCGUUCAGCGGUGUUUUGGAAGACUUUGCGAAGGACCAGAUCUCCCUGAUUGAACCUACGAUUCCGUACGUUGGAAUUAUAGUAUCUCGCAGCGGCGUGCUGGUAGUUUUGAAUUCGGAUGAGCGCUCGAUCCCGGCGUUUGUUAAUGAGAUCGAGGUCGUCCAAGAGCAUAGCAUUGUUGAGUUCCUCUCGUUCAGGUAAGAACCUUCUUCGAACACCGGGAAAUUCUACUUCUGCGGGAAUCAUUCACUCCGUGCCGUAUACCAGGGCGAAGGGAGUUUCUCCCGUUGCUCGCCUUGGGGUGGUACGGUGAGACCAGAGGACUCCCUCGAGUUCGUCGGCCCAUCUACCUUUUUUGGCCUCCAAGCGUUUCUUCAAUCCGUCGAGAAUGGUCUUGUUGAUUGUUUCAGCCUGUCCGUUGCACUGCGGAUAUCUGGGAGUUGACUUGUUGAGUCGUAUCUUCCACUUUUCGCAGAAUGCCUCGAAUCGGGUGGAAAUGAAUUGAGACCCGUUAUCGGUUACGAUUUCGUAAGGAACUCCAUGCCUACAGAUGAUGUUUCUCCACACGAAAUUCUCGACUUGGACGUCUUUUAUACUUGCGUACGAGUCCGCCUCUACCCAUUUUGAGAAAAAAUCGGUAAGGACUAGAAGGAAACGCUUUUGCUUUGAAUUAUGCAGAGGUCCGACAAUAUCCAUGGCCCAGCGCAUAAAGGGAUAGGGCGAUGUGAUGGAGGAAAGAACUUCGGCCGGUUGUCGGAUAGUUGGCGCAUGCCUUUGGCAUUUUUCGCAUUUUCGUGCGAAUUUCUCGCAAUCUCCGAUCAUUGUUGGCCAAUAGUAUCCGUGGCGUUUGAUUUUCACGGCUAGUGAUCUUCCGCCGGAAUGGUUGCCGCAUGAGCCGGAAUGUAUUUCCUCCAUUACUUUCCUCGCCUUUUCUCCUUCCAGGCACGUCAGGAGUGGUCCGGAGAAUCUCCAUUUGUAGAUUUCGCCGUCCACUGUUACGUAGCGUGCGGCCUGUGUUCGGAUCUUGCGAGCUGCCCAUUUUUCGGCGGGCAGUUGCCCGUCGAUAAUGUAGUCUCGAAUCGUCUGAAGCCAUGGGGUAUCACAGCCGUAAUCAGAUUGCUCCGAUGGUGGUGGUAUCGUAAUUUCUUCUUCCUCGUCGUCUUGACCCUCUAUGAGAUUGACAACGACUGGUGGUCCGAUACUCGGAUGUUCGAUGAAUUCGACCGGAAUUACCCUUUUGAGUCCUGGAUCGGAACUUGAUGCUAAGGCCGCGAGGGCGUCCGCCUGGACAUUCUCGGAACGGGGGAUCCGGGUAAGGGCGAAACAGUCGAAGUCUUGAGCUAGACCUUGGACCAGUUUGAGGUACGCGUCCAUCCGUUCGUCUCUGGCUUCAUACUCUCCGCUGAAUUGACUGGCCACUAACUGGGAGUCGCAGUAGGCGUGGAGAUUAUGUAUUUUUAAGCCAUGAGCCAAACGUAGACCUGCGAUUAAUGCUUCGUAUUCGGCCUCGUUGUUUGAGGCAUGGAAUACCAGCCUGAACGAUUGUUCCAAGAUCUCGCUCGUUGGAGAUGUGAGACGGAUCCCGAUACCCGAUCCUUGCUUGGAUGAGGAUCCGUCGACGUGGAGGAGCCAGGUGGAAUUUGGUUCCUCAUUGGUUAUUGCUCCCGUUGGAAGUUCGACCAAGAAGUCUGCGAGCACUUGUGAUUUUGCGCUCGUCCUUGGUCGGUAUUCGAUGUCAUACUCGCUCAACUUGACCGCCCACUUAGCCAAUCGACCGGAUUGACUUGGGCUAUGCAAAAUUGUCCGUAAGGGAAAAGUCGUGAGGAUGACAAUCGUGUGGGAUUGGAAAUAUGGUCUUAGUUUUCGGGCCGACGUUACGACCGCGCAUGCCAAUUUUUCCAUCAAUGGAUACCUAGAUUCGGCAUCCAGCAAGGUUUUGCUUAUGUAGAAAAUAGGUUUCUGCUCUCCACGUUCUUCCCUGAUCAGGACUCCGCUUACGGCCGUUGCCGACACCGCGAUGUACAAGAAUAAAGGCUCCCCUUCCACGGGUUUUGCGAGGACUGGAGGAGUAGCUAAAUAACGCUUCAGCUGUUGGAAGGCGUUUUCGCACUCUUCCUACCAUUCAAAUUUUUUAUUUUCUCGCAGGACGUCGUAGAAGGGCAGACACUUAUCUGUUGAUCGUGAAAUAAAUCGGUUAAGUGCUGCGAUUCUGCCGGUCAGUCUUUGGACCUCCCGCUUGUUCUUUGGUGAAGCCAUCUCGAUUAGUGCGUUGAUCUGUUUUGGAUUUGCUUCGAUGCCGCGGUUGGUGACCAAGUAGCCGAGGAAUUCUCCUGAUGCCACGGCGAAUCUACAUUUUGUCGGGUUGAGCUUCAUGUUAUGGGAGCUUAGUUGUGCAAAGCAUUCUUCGAGAUGUGACACGUGAUCUCUUGCUUUGAGGGAUUUGACGAGCAUGUCGUCGAUAUAAACUUCCAUCGUUUUUCCGAGUUGUUUGGAGAACAUUCGGUUCACGAGUCGUUGGUAAGUUGCUCCAGCGUUUUUGAGGCCGAAGGGCAUUACCUUAUAGCAAUAAGUUCCGCGAUCGGUAAUGAACGCAGUCUUUUCACGAUCGUCGGGAUUCAUCCUAAUUUGAUUAUAACCUGAGAACGCAUCCAUGAAGGAUAAGAGUUCGUUGCCCGCUGUUGCUUCUACCAAUCGAUCGAUAUGUGGUAGAGGGAAGCUAUUCUUCGGACAUGCCUUGUUUAGGUCGGUAAAAUCUACGCAAACUCGCCACUUCCCGUUUUUCUUUUUGACUACUACGGGGUUGGCGAGCCAGUCCGGGUAUCUUACUUCCGUUAUCGACCCAACUUUAAGCAAUUUUUCGACCUCAUCGUUUACUGCGGCAGCACGUUCGGGUCCUAGCUUCCGCCUUUUCUGUUUGACGGGUUUGAAUGUUGGGUCGAUAUUCAGCUCGUGACAUGUUAUGUUAAUGUCGAUUCCCGGCAUGUCUUCCGCAGCCCAUGCGAAAGUAUUAAGGUUCUCUUUAAGACAGGUUAUGAGUUCUGUCCUUAAAGGCUCGUGGAGAUUGGCUCCAAUCUCGACGUAGCGUUCUGGGAAGGCUUCGUCGAGACAGAUCGUUACCACGGGUUCACAUGUUGGCUCGCGUUUUUCAUCUAGAGUUGCGAUGCUGCGAGACUGCCAGAAGAAUUCAGCCGAAUCCUAACUUUGCGUAUCUUUGCUGGAGGUCUUUUUCUCCGCUUUCUUAGGAGUAACUUCGAGGAUCGGUCUCUUUCGUUUUAGUUCCGCAGCAAAACAAAACUGCGAAACUCUUGGAUUUCCCCAGAUUACCUCGACUCCGUUAGGGGUCGGGAACUUGAGGCAAAGAUGGUAGGUUGAUGGGAUUGCGCGCAUGGUGUUCAGCCAUGGCGUCCCCAUGAUAACGUUGUAAGAUGCGGGGCGGUCAACGACUAGAAACUCUGUGAUGUUUGUCACGGUUCCGGCUUUGACAGCGAGUCUAAUCGAUCCAUAGGCCAUGGUCGUUUCCCCCGAAAGUCCUAGCAGUGGGCUUGGGUAUUUCGCGAUCUCGGAUUGACUGAUCCCCAUCUUUUCAAGAGUGUCUUUGAAGAUGAUAUCGGCCGAGCUUCCGGUAUCGAUUAGUACUCUAGCGACGUCGAUAUCUCGAAUCGUCAACUCGAUAACAAGGAGAUCGUUUCGAGGUUUGGCUCGAUCGAUCGUUUCUCCCCCCUUGAAUGAGAUGACGUUCGCGCACGUCGAAUCUCGCAUAUCGUUCCUGAUCGUUGAGUGGCUUUUGCGGGUUAGAUUGAUCCGUAAGUCCCCCUCCUUCUACCGCCAAACUGUGGGAACCGAAAUUCACACUGUCGAUUUCCGUUUAAAUAAGGAAACUAGGAAAACCCUAAUUUCCCAGAGGACCCGGAUAUCUGUUAAUUACCACACGUCAAGCAAUCAGAACACGAGAAUAAUAACGAUAAAAAUAAGAAAUCGAAAAGAGAGCAAAGUAGAUCUUAUUCUGAAUCUGCGUAUGAGCGUUACAACAAGGUAUAAGCCUGGGCUCGAGAGCUGUCGGCGAGAUUUCUAGUUCUAGCAACCCUAAGACGGCUAAACCUAAUUGAGUCGCAGCUCGAAAUAACAAAAACGGAAAAUUGCCUAAAUUGCUCUAAGUGCUAAGUUUGCUCUGAAAAAAGUUCUCCCUCUUGCUCCUCGCCUAGGAAUCCUUAUAUACUAGCUCCAAGGUCGGUUUACGCUUUUACUCUUCUGCCCUUAAGCCUUCAUGCAAGGACUAGUGUCGUAUCGAUGUUCGGAAAGGUUCAAUCGCUACACAGCGACCGAACUUUGGCUCGAGCCCGGUCGCUACGUAGCGACCGAGCGAGACGAGUGCUCGGUCGCUACGUAGCGACCGAGCUUUGGCUCGAGCUCGGUUGCUACGUAGCGACCGAGCGGGACGAUCGCUCAGUCGCUACGUAGCGACCGAGCUUUGGCUCGAGCUUGUAGCGACCGAGCGGGACGAUCGCUCGGUCGCUACGUAGCGACCGAGCUUUGGCUCGAGCUCGGUCGCUAGGUAGCGACCGAGCUGGACGAUCGCUCGGUCGCUGCGUAGCGAUUUGUUUCAAGCUUUUCGUCGGACAUCUCGAUUCUUUCUUCCGUAAAGCUUUUUUCGUAAGAAAGAGUCUAUUUCCGAAAAAUACUCUUCGGAGAAAUUCUUAUUUUCUUCCUCGGACGUUUUGAAUGUUAAAUUUGUCGUAACCGUUUUUGACCCCAACAAGGAUGAAUCGCGAUGUAAGAAGCUUGAUUUUGAUACAUAAAGUAAUGGAGAAUCACUAGGAAGUUGAAUAAAUCUCAUAGGAGUUAGGAUGAAGAAGUUGUCCCACUUUCAAAUCAGGUGAUCCCAGUUUUUCUGUUUGGGAAUAUGACAGCUUCUUUGUCAUUCUAAUCAAACCAGGAUAAAUCGCGAUGUAAAAAGCUUGAUUUGGAUAUAUAAAGUAAAGGAGAAUCACUAUGAAGUUGAAUAAAUCUCAUAGGAGUUAGGAUGAAGAAGUUGUCCUACUUUCAAAUCAGGUGAUCCCAGUUUUUCUGUUUGGGAAUUUGACAGCUUCUUUUUCAUUCUAAUCAAACCAGAAUGAAUUGUGAUGUAAGAAGCUUUAAUUGGAUACAUACAGUAGUGGAGAACCAUUAGGAAGUUGAAUAAAUCUCAUAGGAGUUAGGAUGAAGAAUCUAUCCCACUUUCAAAUAAGGUUAUCCCAAUUUUCCUGUUUGGGAAUAUGACCGCUUUCUUGUCAUUCUAAUCAAACCAGGAUGAAUCGCGAUGUAAGAAGUUUGAUUUUGAUACAUAAAGUAAUGGAGAAUCACUAGGAAGUUGAAUAAAUCUCAUAGGAGUUAGGAUGAAGAAGCUAUCCCACUUUCCAAUCAUGUGAUCCCAAUUAUCCUGUUUGGGAAUAUAACAGCUUCCUUGUCAUUCGAAUCGAACCAGGAUGAAUCGCGAUGUAAAAAGCUUGAUUUUGAUACAUAAAGUAAUGGAGAAUCACUAGGAAGUUGAAUAAAUCUCAUAGGAGUUAGGAUGAAGAAGCUAUCCCACUUUCAAAUCAGGUGAUCCCAGUUUUUCUGUUUGGGAAUAUGANNNNNNNNNNNNNNNNNNNNNNNNNNNNNNNNNNNNNNNNNNNNNNNNNNNNNNNNNNNNNNNNNNNNNNNNNNNNNNNNNNNNNNNNNNNNNNNNNNNNNNNNNNNNNNNNNNNNNNNNNNNNNNNNNNNNNNNNNNNNNNNNNNNNNNNNNNNNNNNNNNNNNNNNNNNNNNNNNNNNNNNNNNNNNNNNNNNNNNNNNNNNNNNNNNNNNNNNNNNNNNNNNNNNNNNNNNNNNNNNNNNNNNNNNNNNNNNNNNNNNNNNNNNNNNNNNNNNNNNNNNNNNNNNNNNNNNNNNNNNNNNNNNNNNNNNNNNNNNNNNNNNNNNNNNNNNNNNNNNNNNNNNNNNNNNNNNNNNNNNNNNNNNNNNNNNNNNNNNNNNNNNNNNNNNNNNNNNNNNNNNNNNNNNNNNNNNNNNNNNNNNNNNNNNNNNNNNNNNNNNNNNNNNNNNNNNNNNNNNNNNNNNNNNNGUUCGCAGUUCAUAUCGUUGAUCGAUGGGAUGAUCAGCGAAUGUGGUUCUGAGACCAGUCGCCUUUCCGGGGAGUUGGUGGAGCUUCAGGGAAGAUGGUCCGAAACCGAGGCUAUGUUGCCGGCUGUCGAGGACUCUCACUCUGUGAAAGUGUCGAAGCUCGAGGUUGCGAUAGGAGAGCUUGAGAGGGACCUUGGGAAGACGGCGAGUUCCUUGCUCAAGGAAAAGAAGGCCAGGAAGGCCAAAUCCUCGGAGCGGGACGAUCGCUCGGUCGCUACGUAGUGACCGAGCUUUGGCUCGAGCUCGGUCGCUGCGGGACAAUCGCUCGGUCGCUAUGUAGCUACCGAGCUUGGCUGAGCUCGGUCGCUACGUAGCGACCGAGGUCGCUGCGUAGCGACUUGUUUCGAGCUUUUUGUCGGACAUCUCGAUUCUUUCUUCCGUAAAGCUUUUCUCGUAAGAAAGAGUCUAUUUCCGAAAAAUACUCUUCGGAGAAAUUCUUAUUUUCUUCCUCGGUCGUUUUGAAUGUUAAAUUUGUCGUAACCGUUUUUGACCCCAACAAGCUACAGGUAAAAGUUUGUUCCUAGUUUCUCUCUCUCUAAUUUUCUUUCUUGAGUCAAAGUCUGCUUCCAUUGCAAAAUCAGUGACCAAGAUUGGAGAGGCUUCCAUGAAUCAAAACUUAAUGGUGGUUGCCACCAAGUUCUGUUCACUUCUUUUUGACCUACAUCCAAGAGUUCUUUGCGAAAGCGAGCCUUGAAGAUUGCCGCCUCCAAGUCCUGUUUCGAACUCUUUUAUUUGAGUCUUUAUGAAUCAAGCCUUAAUGGUUUUAGCCACCAAGUCCUGUUCAGACUCAUCCUAAUUAAACCAUAGAUCUUUUAUUAUUAUUAUAUUAUUAUUAUUAUUAUUAUUUUUAUUAACUCACUAACUAAUCUAGGGUCGAAAUUUAGAGAGAAAAAAUGUGAUAAAUAAUCUAAACCAGGCGUUACCUUCCAGACCUGUCUGGAGAAUCCGAUCCCAUGUAUACCAAGCCCCAAGACAAGCGGUUAUGUCAGGUUUAGUGUUGGAAAUCAGCUUUGGUUACUUCAUAUGGUUCAAGGCAAGUGUUUAGUUGAUAGGUUGAUCCGCUUUAGCAUCUUUAGUGCUAUCUGCCAUCACUAAAUCUAAAAUGGUGCUAAAGAUUGGUUAGAUAUUCAAGUUUAAAUCAAUAUAAAAUUAUAGUUUUUAUUUUCAAUAGCUAAGCAUAAUUUAUUAAAAUUCCUUUUUAUAUAAGAAUAAAAUAAAUUAUAUCAGUAAAUCUCACCCCAGACUUAAAUUACAAUGUCCCAGUGUAACUCAGCCGGAGUUAUGAUGAAAAGUUAUGAUGUACGAAAUGUAACAAGGAAGAUACGUCUUGCCGGAUUAGAUAUCGAUCGAUGUGUAAGUGUUAUAUCGAUCGUCAUGUGCUUGUCUACGUCGAACGAUGUCGACGUCUCGUCGUCGGUCGAUAUUCAGGUCCUCCUACUUGGGUCUCCUAAAUCUGAAAGAAAUAAACGAAAGUAAAUAAAUGCUAGCUAAUAAAACCAAAGUAAAAUACCUAAUAGUGGGUUGCCUCCCACUCAGCGCAUGGUUAUAGUUAUUUAGCUUGACUGUGGUAAUGAUUGGCUAUUGGGUGGAGAAACAGCUGCUUGUUGGUUGGAAAGCAAGCAUCCACGUCAUCUCUGCACAUUCUGAACCAAAAUGCAAUGAAACUUCUUGUGGCCUCAUCAUUUCUUGUCCAUUUGUCAUCCAUCUUCUCAAGUACAUUGGAGAUGUUCUGUAGCCUUUCUUGAACGUUGUCAAUGCUGACCUGGUGCCAACCAAUGUUGUCAUUGGCGUAUGCUGAAAGAUCUGCCAGUUCCUUUUGCAUUGAUUCCAUCGUCUUAUGUAUCAGUUGCUCGCUGAUUGGUGUAGACUCGGCGUCGAUCGAUGCGAUUAUGUGUUCGUUGGUCGAUCUGGGCAAGUUGCCAUCGAUCGAUUUCGCUCGUGUCCUGUCGAUCGAUGCUGAUAUCUGGUGUUUGGCUGCGAUUUUCCUCUGAAUGGCUUUGACUUCUUUCUAUAGCCAUUCUGCGUGGCUGUCUAGUCCACUGAUUUUGUUGUCGAAUGGAAAGUAGAUGUCAUCGCAGCGUUUGUGAAGUCGUUCCUCCAUGGUGUCUAAAGCAGUGUAGAUCUUGGAUGUGAUCUUGUCAACCUCUGCUGCUGUGUAAGGAAGUAACUCCACAGGUUUUUUGCCAUCGAUCCAAGGCCCUCGUAGCCUGUCGAUUGAUGCUGAUUUUGCCUGCAAAAAAUUUUGAUUAGUAAUGUUCUCAGUAUCCUUUUGGGCAUGAAGUAAUUGACUAAACAAUUUGUUUAAAUAUAUCAUGACUGGUGAUAUAAAGCGGUCAUGCAUAUCCUCGUAAGUCCUCAGCCUCUCAUUCAUGGCUGAGACUUUAGCGUCGAGCGAUGUGAAGGUACACAUGUCGAUCGAUGUGGCUGGUUGUUGGUCCUUCUUGGGAAUGGUGUCUAGAUCUUGCUGUAGUAGCUCUAUUUUAGUGCUUAUCCCACUUUCAAAUCAGUUGAUUCCAGUUUCCCAGUUGAUUCCAGUUUCCCAGUUUGGGAAUAAGACAACUUCUUCGUUGUUCCAAUCGAACCAGGAUGAAUCACUUUGUAAGAAGCUUGAUUUGGAUACAUAAAGUGGUGGAGAAUCACCUGGAAGUUAAAUAAAUCUCAUAGGAGUAGGGAAGAAGAAGUUAUCCCUUUUUACAAAUCAAGUGAUUCUAGUUUCCCAGUUUGGUAAUGAGACAACUGCUUCAUCGUUCCAAUCGAACUAGGAUGAACCACUUUAUAAGAAGCCUGAUAUGGAUACAUAAAGUGGUGGAGAAUGACCAGGAAGUUGAAUAAAUCUCAUAGGAGUAGGGAAGAAGAAGUUAUUCCACUUUCAAAUCAGUUGAUUCCAGUUUUCCAGCUUGGGAAUAAGACAACUUCUUCGUCGUUCCAAUCGAACCAGGAUGAAUCACUUUGUAAGAAGCUUGAUAUGGAUACAUAAAGUGGUGGAGAAUGACCAGGAAGUUGAAUAAAUCUCAUAGGAGUUGGGAAGAAGAAGUUAUCCCACUUUCAAAUCAGUUGAUUCCAAAUUCCCAGUUUGGGAAUAAGACAACUUCUUCGUCGUUCCAAUCGAACUAGGAUGAAUCACUUUGUAAGAAGCUUGAUAUGGAUACAUAAAGUGGAGGAGAAUGACCAGGAAGUUGAAAAAAAUCUCAUAGGAGCUGGGAAGAAGAAGUUAUCCCACAUUCAAAUUAGUUGAUUCCAGUUUCCUAGUUAGGAAUAAGACAACUUCUUCGUCGUUCCAAUCGAACCAGGAUGAAUCACUUUUUUAGAAGCUUGAUAUGGAUACAUAAACUGGUGUAGAAUGACCAGGAAGGUGAAAAAAAUCUCAUAGGAGCUGGGAAGAAGAAGUUAUCACACUUUCAAAUCAGUUGAUUCCACUUUUCCAAUUUGGGAAUAAGACAACUUCUUCGUCGUUCCAAUCGAACCAGGAUGAAUCACUUUUUUAGAAGCUUGAUAUGGAUACAUAAACUGGUGUAGAAUGACCAGGAAGUUGAAAAAAAUCUCAUAGGAGCUGAGAAGAAGAAGUUAUCCCACAUUCAAAUCAGUNNNNNNNNNNNNNNNNNNNNNNNNNNNNNNNNNNNNNNNNNNNNNNNNNNNNNNNNNNNNNNNNNNNNNNNNNNNNNNNNNNNNNNUAUCCCUUUUUACAAAUCAGGUGAUUCUACUUUCCCAGUUUGGGAGUAAGACAACUUCUUCAUCGUUCCAAUCGAACUAGGAUGAAUCUCUUUGUAAGAAGCUUGAUAUGGAUACCUAAAGUGGUGCAGAAUGACCAGGAAGUUGAAAAAUAUUUCAUAGGAGCUGAGAAGAAGAAGUUAUCCCACAUUCAAAUUAGUUGAUUCCAGUUUCCCAAUUUGGGAAUAAGACAACUUCUUCGUCGUUCCAAUCGAACUAGGAUGAAUCACUUUGUAAGAAGCUUGAUAUUGAUACCUAAAGUGGUGUAUAAUGACCAGGAAGUUGAAAAAAAAUCUCAUAGGAGUUGGGAAAAAGGAGUUAUCCCACUUUCAAAUCAGUUGAUUCCGGUUUCCCAGUUUGGGAAAAAGACAACUUCUUCGUCGUUCCAAUCGAACCAGGAUGAAUCACUUUGUAAGAAGCUUGAUAUGGAUACAUAAAGUGGUGGAGAAUGACCAGAAAGUUGAAAAAAAUCUCAUAGGAGCUGGGAAGAAGAAGUUAUCCCACUUUCAAAUCAGUUGAUUCCAGUUUCCCAGUUUGAGAAUAAGACAACUUCUUCGUUGUUCAAAUCGAACCAGGAUGAAUCACUUUGUAAGAAGCUUGAUUUGGAUACAUAAAGUGGUGGAGAAUCACCUGGAAGUUGAAUAAAUCUCAUUGGAGUAGGGAAGAAGAAGUUAUCCCUUUUUACAAAUCAGGUGAUUCUAGUUUCCCAGUUUGGGAAUAAGACAACUUCUUCAUCGUUCCAAUCGAACUAGGAUGAACCACUUUGUAAGAAGCCUGAUAUGGUUACAUAAAGUGGUGGAGAAUGACCAGGAAGUUAAAUAAAUCUCAUAGGAGUUGGGAAGAAGAAGUUAUCCCACUUUCAAAUCAGUUGAUUCUAGUUUCCCAGUUUGGGAAUAAGACAACUUCUUCGUCGUUCCAAUCGAACUAGGAUGAAUCCCUUUGUAAGAAGAUUGAUAUGGAUACAUAAAGUGGUGGAGAAUGACCAGGAAGUUGAAAAAAAUCUCAUAGGAGCUGGGAAGAAGAAGUUAUCCCACUUUCAAAUCAGUUGAUUCCAGUUUCCCAGUUAGGGAAUAUGACAACUUCUUCGUCGUUCCAAUCGAACCAGGAUGAAUCACUUUAUAAGAAGCUUGAUCUGGAUACAUAAAGUGGUGGAGAAUGACCAGGAAGUUGAAAAAAAUCUCAUAGAAGCUGGGAAGAAGAAGUUAUCCCACUUUCAAAUCAGUUGAUUCCAGUUUUCCAAUUUGGGAAUAAGACAACUUCUUCGUUGUUCCAAUCGAACCAGGAUGAAUCACUUUGUAAGAAGCUUGAUAUGGAUACAUAAACUGGA
rnacentral:lncRNA from 1 species